AAAAAAAAAAAAACUUUUUUUUUUCUCCCAAUCCUCUGAUAACCACCAAGGAAUUAUAUAUGCCGACGCUGUUGCAUCUGCUGCAUCCUAAAUUGCAUGAUUUUUCAAUGAGAGAAGUUUUUCUUCUCUUCUUUUUUUUUUUAAUUUUUAUUUUCCUGAGAGAGAGACAGGGAGGCUCAUCCGUGCUAUAAUUACCCGAGUCUUUUUUUUUUUUUAAUAAAUUUCUUUCUUGUUCUUGUUCUUAUUUUUAAGAUUUCCCGUCGUGAGCAAGGGCUGCUUGUUUUGUUAUUAUCAUUACCGUGAACACUGGGAUAGGUUUUGUUGAUACGAUCUUUCUUCUUGUAAAGAGUACUGUUUUUCCUUUAGAAUUUCCAAAGCAUUAAACUCUUGAUUUCUUAUCAAUCUAAAUCUGGAGAUUUUCUAUAAUGCAGGGGAAACUGUUACUAUUGUUGGCGAUCAUGAUCCUGCAUUGAUGAAGUACUUUGACUACACGCGUACAUCCCAUCGUUCAGCCUUUGACAGCAACGUUGUCUAUCAGUUUGAAAUAAUGGAAUAUGUUAGAUUACUCACCAUGCUAACUAACUUUAGGUGGAAAUAGUCAUUAGAAUUUGAUACAAGAAUUGAUCUCAUAGAAUGUUACAGCUAGUUGCUUGUUUAUUUAUUUAUUUGUUUACUCAAGGAAUCACCAAUUAGUGAUACUAUUUAUCUUGUUUUUAAAUUGCUUGGUCUGAUUUGAUACUCUGAACUUGCUCUCAUUUUCAGGCAUAUUUCUCCUCAGCCCCUCUAAACUGCUGGGUGCUUGGGAAACUCAAGACCAAGGGACCAAUGCAUUUGAUGCAUGUUGUCUGCAUAAAAAUAUAAAUGAAGAAACAUGACUAUAUAUAUGAGAAGUGAGAACAGCUGACUGUAUGAUCUAGGAAUGUAAAUUAAUAAGAAUUUUCUAUUUUGUGAUAUGCAAACAUGCAUACUUCCAUGAAGAUGUGUGAUGUGUAAAUUUUUUGAUGUAACAUGGACCAUGGUCCAUGUAAUUAUGCACUGGAAAUACUUGAUAUAUAGGCCCACCAACGUAAAUUGCAGUCUAUGAACUGGAGUUUAAACCAUAAAUAUUCUCCUAUAUAUAACCAAAAACUCCCAUGUUGGAGAGUGAAAUGUUCAUAAGUUGCCUACCCUCACUUAAUGCCACAAGAGAGAAGGGAAUUUAUAAGCACGCCCUCUCCUUCCAUAGAUGUAGUCAUGUUCAAGCUCCUACUCUGUCUAGAUCAUUUCCCGAGACUACACAGAGUGGGAAUGGAACAACAGAAAGGAAAAUAUCUUUGUUUAGAUAAUAUGAAAAUAUCGUAAGGUUAGUGGUAACAAAACUUAUAACAUCACCGUAGCUGCCGACCACAUUGUGAUUGUCUAACAUGCUUUUAAUCUUCAGUCACAUCAUAGAUUUCACAUAACAGCUGCUUAUUAUAUUUUUCCUUGGUAAAAAAUCAGGAGCACUCUACAAUUGGCCAGAAAUCUUUAUUAAAUUCCUUUCUUUUAUACUUCCUUUGCCUGCACAAAUCUAUAUGACUCACACUUCCAUCGAAAAUGUCCAGUUCUAGUAUUUCUAAACCAUUUUAUAUACUAUCUAUUGUUCUACCCCACAGCAUCACUCAUGCUUCAUUGGAGUCUGCAGACUGACCUUUUGCUGAUCCUUCCUCUAUGUUUAUCUCAUGUUCAUUCUCAUGUUUUCAUUUUAUUAAUUUAUCAAAAUAUUGUCUUCAUGCUUUUUUCUUAUUUUUUCCCUUUUUUUUUGUGAUUUUCUUACAUGCAUUCCCUUUUUUUGAUAUAGGUGCUUGAUUAUGGUUUCGAGCGAUUGGGUGCCAAUGAUUUGCAGGUACAUUUGUGUAAUAUUCAUGGUUUGUCAUAGGAAAUGAUUAAAAAGACGAUCAUGCUCGUGUGUUUUAUUAUCUGAAUUUCCUUGUUAUCUGUCAGUCUUCAAUGUUGGUACUAGCCAACUUUUCAGUUUUAGAGAGUUAUGCAUAUUUGUUUGGUCUUAGGAUACAUGAUAUAUGACAUGCUAUAACCAUUGUGAUGUAUGAAAUUACUAUUAGCAUUAAUACCCAUAUAGUCUUUUUUUCAUCCAUUGCUAUAGUAAAAGCCAUAAUUAUCUUACUACUUUACACCAUUGCAAACUCAGAUUUUCUCUGAUCUUUCCAGACCUCUGAAAUAGAUGCUCCACCUUUCCCAACACCAUACCAUCACCACCUCCAUUAUGACCAUUCCUGCAGUUUAGAUUGCAUGAACAAAUCACUUUUUAUACUUAUUGCUUUAUUUUCCAAAGAUUCUGCCUCACAUUAUUCAUAUAACUUCUUUAUGGAUUUUUUACUAAUUUAUUUUGUCAACAUCCUUUCUCCUUUGUGGCCACGUUCAUCGAGAUCCUUCCUACAGAAAUAUCUGAUUCAUAUUUCUUAAAUUUGCUAUCUUCUUACUUAUGUCCCAUCUUCGUCUAUCUAUAUUUUCUUACCUUAGCAAAUCCAUCUUGCCACCUAUAACCCCUCCCAAACCACACAAAAAAAAAAGAAGAAAACAUGUAUUGUCAGCCUAUAUCAAAAGCUAGUACAGAGGUUCAAGAACAAAUUUAGAUACUCUUGGUUUCAGGUUCUAGACGGCAAGCUUUGGUGCAAUGGUAAGGUUGCUCCAUUGUGACCAGUCUAUCAAGGGUUUGAACACAGAAACAACCUCUUCACAUGUGAGGGUAAGAUUGUAUACAUCUGAUCCUCCCUAGAACCUGCAGUAGGAGGAUCCUUGUGCACUUGGCUGCAGUAGGAGGAUUCUUUCUCUUGAUCUGUGCAGUCAAUGAAACAUGCAACAGAGGUGGUGUUAUUAUGUUUGUAAAAUUUGAGUUGGCCAUUACAGACAUAUCAAUAAGUCUUGUUCUAAACUAUUAAACACCGCCCUAGGUGCCGCCCAUGCGUCUUUCAAUGCCUACACCCAUUGGAUUCUGUCUCCUCUGGUCCCUCUGUCUCCUUAUAUCACAAUUGCUCCCCUUUGCCCUCCCUACAUCCUUUGAAGCCUUUGAACCCUCCCAUCGUUGGUCCUUCACUAUUUUGGCUGCUUCUCCUCCUCCUCCAAUCCCUCUCUCUCUCUCUCUCUCUCUCUCUCUCGUUCCCUAUUCUUCCUCAGUUAUGAUCGCCGAACUUGGGAGGCCUGAUUAUAGAUUGAUUCAUGCAGGUGACUCCCCCCUUCUCUCUCACCCCCCUUUCCCUCUCCUUCUUCCUCUCCCUUCCUCUCCUUCUUCCUGUGUUGUUAGUCCUUAGAAUGGCGCAGUACGGACCUAUACCAUGCUGAACUGAUCGCUGGCUGGUAUCCUCUCCAAUAUUGGUUCGGCAUACCUUGGUGCAUAAUUUUUUAAGAUUUUUUGGCCCUCAAUAUAGAUUUUGUAUCAUUAACUUUUGGGUAUUUUAUAUGCAUAAUGUCUAAAUUCUUCUUUAUUGAAUAUACAUCAAAGAAUGCUUCAUAUUCCAAACCAAUAUUUCAGUAAGAUACAAAUUUGACAAAAAUAGUUUGCUUUUUUUUUUUUCCUUUCAGUGAGAUAGAAAUUUAACAAUAGUACUUCUCUUUUUUUUUUCUGUUAUACUCACUUAUGUCAUCCUUGGGCCAGGGCAGGUGGAUCAUCCUAUUUUGAUGACAGAAUGUGUAUGCAAUCCAAUCUCCUCUCGCAGUAAAAUGGCGGAACUCCUUUUUGAGACUUAUGGUGUACCAUCUAUAGGUAGAAAUAUCUGCUAGAAUUUUCUUAGAGUCUAUUCUACUCUCUAAGGAUCAUUCUAUUUUUUAGUCUCUUUAUAAUGACUUAUUAUUUCUUGCUUAAUGUGAUGUUUGCUAUGCUCUCAUGCCAUUGCUUAUGUUUGAACCAUGGGAUUGCAGCCUUUGGUAUUGAUUCCGCAUUCAGCUAUAAGUUCAACCAACAGCAUGGAAUUUGCACUGAAGAUGGUCUUGCUGUUUGUGCAGGAGUGACAACAAGCCAUGUUAUCCCGGUAAGAUACUGGCAUUGUGAAGUGCUUCUUUGACCCAAAAAAAGCAUACUAACUAUCGGUUGCAUGUUAGCCUGCUUUCACCUAUAUGCUAAUAUCAGUGAUAAUGAGUAUUACUAUAUAUGAAUAAAAUGAUUUAGACACCUAAAAAAGAUUGGAAUUUUUUUGACUCAUAAAUCAAUGGAUUUUUUUUUAAUUACAUUUUGGGUAUUUUUUUAAAAUCAAACAAUUGGAACCCAUCACCUUUUCAUUAAGAGCAUGAUGCAAACAGUGUAAAGACGAAAGAUAAAGCAAGAAGAUGAUGAAAGUUUCUCCCAUUAUUUCGAAGGACUUGGUUCUCGCUAGUUGAAUUUGUUGAAAGGUGAUUGAUUGGACAACAGAUCAUGUAGUAAGAUUUUCUCCUUGUAUAUUGGUUUAUUAGGGUUUUUAUAAUAUCUUUGUUAGAAACUUCUUGAGCUUUUCCCACCUAUGUGCUUUGUUAUAGAAUAUUUAUCCUUUUCCAUGAGCAAACUUCAGAUGAUUUCGACUUGAUAUUAAGUUUUCAUUGAAUACAACACUUUUAUGCGAGCCUAAAUGUUGGAGAGAAUAACAAAAAUAGCUUGGUAUAUGGUUGUAUAAGCUAAAGAACAUGCUAUCUGAGCAACGGAGCAAAUGCUUGCUCAAAAAUCUUGUCAGUUAAAUUAAGCAUCAUAGCUGCUGUGGGUAUAGGACUCUGAACUUAUGCACUAUAGCUAUUACCAUCAUUCCUAUGGUCAUCUAUAUGGAAUUUAUUCUUGGAUAUCGACCAUCUUGUUUAUGGUCUCUAAGAUGUGAAUCUUUACUGUAAUUUACGUUUCUAAGGACAACACUCACCCCCCCUUCCCCGGAAAACUCUCUCUCUCUCUCUCUCUCUCUCUCUCUCUCUCUCUCUCUACCUACCUACCUACCNNNNNNNNNNNNNNNNNNNNCCCCCGUAAACCCCGUAACCUACUCUCUCUCUCUCUCUCUCUCUCUCUCUCUCACUCACACACACACACACACACACACACACACACACACAGAGAGAGAGAGAGAGAGAGAGAGAGAAAAAGGCAAAAACUGGUAGGCAGAAUGAAUAAUGCGAAGAGUUUACUCUUCAUUUUAUUGCCUUGUUCUCUUUAACCUUUUCACUUUUUAGGAGUUUGAUUUUCCUUUGGAGAAAAAUCAACUAUUAUAUGAUACUUAAUUAUAUAGUGGUUUUUCCAUAACAAUUCUUUUUUCACAGAACCAAUUAAAAUUUAUCAAAUGAAUAUAUAAAUAGAGAUCUUAUAACUUCACACACUUUUUUAAAAAGGAAAAGUAAUAAAAAAUAUUAAAGUAUUGACAUCAAAAGAAUGAAGCCAAGCAAGACGACUCUAAUCUCUGGUUCAAAAAAGAGAAGGGGUUUUAUUCAAUUUGCUCUAUAAGACAUUAAUCAAUUUAAUAUUGGAUGACAAUGUAUUCUUUAAUAUAUGACUUCAAGGAUGACAUUAGUUUUGCCCCCUUUUUUUUUUGCAGAUAAUACGCAUUUUUGCUCUACAUGGUUGUUUUUUUACUCUUGCUGGUUUUGUUAUAUUGUAUGUAGUAUGAGAAUAAUUGCUCUAUACUUUAUCUUGGAUUUGUCAUAUGUUAAAUUGUUACAUCAUGCAUAAAAAAUAAUAUAUGCCUUAAGGUGUUCUCAUGUAUAAUUAAUCAGAAUGCUUUUAGCAUGUAAUGGCUCAUGCAUGAAACAACUUUUUGGAUACAUGUGUGCAUGCAUGCAUGCAUGCGUACAUGCGUCUUAUACUCAACUGAAUUUUCUCUUUAUGAGUUGGAGCCUCACCAUAUAUGGUCUUUUAGUUUGUUAAAGGGGAGCCUGUUCUGGAAGCAUGCUGCAGAACAAAUAUUGGUGGGUAUCAUGUUACUGACUAUCUGAAGCAGCUUCUUUCCCUCAAGUACCCCUAUCACAUGUAUGUGUGUAUCUUGCUGCACUUUAGAUCUAAUUUAAUUGACAGUGAACUGUUCCUUUCUGGGUUUGCUUGCAAUUUUUAUGUGUAAAUGUGCUACCACAGGUCCAGCAUUACAUGGGAAAAGGCCGAGGAACUAAAGAUGGAACACUGUUAUGUAGCUUUGGAUUAUGCAUCAGAACUGCAAUUAUUUCAGGUCAGAAACUCGCUGUUUUCUUCUUUGCUUUCAUGCUUAUUUUUCAAAAACCUUUUUUUUUAUUUUGGUAGACUAAAUUUAAGCUUAAAGGGAACAGAGUAUUCCCUACCGUGCUAUGCUGGGAGAAUACUAUACUCUUGUAUGACAGAAGGUCUGGGCAUAGCUGGUCCCUUCUCCUGACAGUGCCAUCACACUAUUAUUGUAUUCCUCUGAUUUGGACUCUCCCUUUUCCUCACUAAUCUCCAUUAUUGCUGGGUGCAAAUAGUUAUUAUACAUAUAAAGUCUUCUAGGACCUUUAGAAGUAGAUAAUAGGGCUGAACAAGUUAGCUGAUAUUUGGAAGACUUAAUUUGAUGCAAUAUGCCCAUUUGAGCAUGCAAGUACUCAUUUUGGAGCAAGUUCAUGGCUUUUUUUUUUCUUUUUGAUUGUUUUAUGCUCAAAUAGUGUUCUAGAAUCUGUACACAAGAUUGAUAUAGAGUUUGGAUUGCACUGUGAUAUUUUCUGAUGAUUUUUGGUCAUUUUUGUAUUGUUUUAGGUGGUAAAUUUUCUGACAUAUUGUCCAGAUAGCUUGUGUUGCAUAAUUGUUACAUUAUAGACUUGAUUGGUUUGCGGGAAGAGGAGGGGGGAAGUGUGGUCAAUGGAAAAAUGGAAAAAUACCUUAUGUUUGACUGUAGUUUUCAGAGGAGAGAGAUGGAAAACUAGUUUUCCUGUGAGAAUCACAUUUCAUGAGUCUAACUCCCACCAGUUGGAAUUGGGGUAUUUUUUCUUCUGAAAGUGCCCUUAAGCUUUUAGAUAGAAUGGGGUAAAGUCUUUCCCUUUAUUAAGGGCAUAACAAGUAUUUUACACAAGUUUCCCAAGAACCAAAUGUAAGCCAUUCUAAAAUGUGUCACUUUCCCGUAGUUAUCCUAACAUACAAGAACCACUUUCUCAAGCAUUAUAUACCUAGGCUCCAGCUUUUCAGGAAAAACAUCCCAAUGAGGAAAAUUCUUUCUGUGAACCAAAUGAGUCCUAUGUGGAGCGGUGAUUAUACAUCCAUGGGGCUAUCUUUACAUGUAGUAGGUUAAAAGAACCUGGAACGAUGCCCAUCAUUUCAUAAAUCACAUGGGGGGCAGGAAACAAGGGGACUGGUGAGGCAUAUGGUUGUCUGGUGAUUUUCAGCUAAAAGCUCCAUACCUCUGUAAUUUUUAUCAAAAUUAUAUGUUCGUGUGUGCUAUUUAGCUCUUUUGCUUUAAUGCUUUGAGAUGUGCUGUCCUACCUACACCAAAAGUUAUUACCUUCGCAGUUCAUCCAGAGUCUUUUCACGGUCCAGGAAAAUUUUGGAGGGCUGUUCCUAAGUUUCAUGACUGCAACAAGUAGAUCCUCACCAGCUGACCAACCAUAUAAAAAGAUUCAUGGCAAGCACCUUUCUUGCUUAAAUCUGUCUUGAAUAGGAGUGAAUACCAAUUUGUAGAGGAUUGAGAUCAUGAUAAGGUGCUCAUAAAAUAUGUGAUUUUGGAUCUGCUUCAAUUCAUGGAUGAUCCAAAGAGGUCCUGUUCAAAUCACCUGCAGUCCAUGUACCGCACAAUGACAUUGCUUUCAGAUCAUUACUGGUUCAAUCACCUGCUGUUAAUCUUUAAAGAAACAAUAAGUGGUUAAAUUAGAUCUUUCUAUGAGUAGAUAACAUCCAAACUUGAAAUCUGCUCAGUCCUCUUAUGAAGCCUUAUUAACUUUUGUGUUGCACUAUGUAGUCAACCCCAUCUUUGAUGAGAGUAGGCUUGGGGGGUGGUGGUGGUGAUAUGUGUAUAUUUUAUAUGUGUUUGUGCGCAAGUGUGUAUAAUAUGAGCCAUUGAAUGGGUAAGUCACCAAUCUUUUAAAAGGAUCAUGAAUGUAUUUUAUUUGCAAGGUUACGGAUUGGUGUGUAUUAUACAGGAGGUUUCUAUUAAACUCAGGUUCUAAAAACACAAUGAUGAAGGAGUUUAGGGUUUUUAUGUGUAUACCCUUAUAAAUAUCUGAAGUUGAGUGUAUACCCUUGCUUCACUAUUUAUAUGUAUAUGCUUGUAAUAUUUCUUUUUGCAUCUAUACCCUUAUAAAUAUCUAAAAUUACAUGUCUACCCUCAUAAAUUCACUAUUUACAUGUACACCCUUAUAAAUUAUUUCUUUUUGCAUGUAUGCCCUCACUUAUCUGCUAGUAUUGUGUAUACCCCUAUAGGUUAUUUUUUUCUACAUCUUCACUUAAUUAAGUUAAAGGUAUGCAAAAAGAAAUACUUUAUAAAGGUAUACAUGCAAAAAGAAAUAAUUUAUAGCGGUAUAUGUGUAAACAGUAAACUUGCAAGGGUACAAAUGAAAAUUCAGAUAUUUAUAAAAGUACAUAUGUGAAAAGAAAUAAUUAUAAGAGUAUUCAUGUAAAUAGUAAAUCUACAAGAGUAUAUACAUAAUUUAAGAUCUUUAGAAGGGUAUACAUACAAAAAAAAAAAAUCCCAUAAUUUAUGAAUGAUUUUGCUUAUCUAAGUACUUGAGCAGCUUGUUGUCAUUUGGACAUGGUCAUUCUACCAUAUGUUCUCAAUGUUCACCAAGUGAAAAUUUUGAUUCAUUCAGUUUGAGAAGAGUAUUUAGAGACAUUAAUCAUAAAUAGGCUUGUUCUGUUUGCAUACAUUCACCAUUUUGUUGUUUGUUGUAUAGACAUGCCAUGGCUCGCUGUUACUGUUUGGUCAGGAAUUUGCAUUUUUUUUCUCCCUUUUUUUUGUUGUGUGUGUGUGGGUGGGGGGUGUGCAAUUGUUAGCAGUUGACCAUUAAGGUGCAACCAUACAAAAGAUGCCAAUAUUAAGUGAUAACAAUAAUAGUAAUUGUAAUGCAUGGUUCAAUUCAACAAUUAACAUCUAUUAUUCAUGUUCUAGUUAUUAAAUUUAGCUUCUAAACUUAGAAGUUUUGAAUACCAUCUAAAAACUAAUGUACCUAAAAGUUGGUCUAGUGUAUGUAUAGUUAGCAUGUACUAUUCAAGUUGUUGUCAGUGGACACAGUGACAUCAUCAUUUGAAGCCUGAAAUGUUUUUAAGAUCCAAUAGAAAGCAUUUCUUGUAGACUAGGAAAAAGGAAAUAGUCACACAGAUUACAAAAAGAAUGCAAAAAAAUCACGUCAAUCACAUAUGUAGGCUCCCUGGGAUUGUCAGUUUACCUUGUAACAAUUUGGAGUCCUAGAUAUAACAGAAGAUCCACAAAAGGGGAUAAAAAAAUCUUGGCCAGACAAAGAUCGAUGGAGGUUGCUAUCCUUCUCUUUCUUCUUCAAAUAUUCAUUAGAGGUUUCUUUUGAAAAUGUGUGAUUGAGAUUUAGAGAAUCAUAGCACCACUUUUUUUCUCGUGAAAAAUUGGACAAAAUCCGGCUUGAAUUGUAUCACCAGUGGUUGGGGAUUAGAAUGUGAUAUGUGGUGGGGCCUACCUCAAUGAGUAAGAAAUAACUAUGAUGUGCUGAGACUAGAGAGAACCAUAGGGAGCAAGAUUUCAAAUAUCAAUGUUGGACCUUUUAACCGUUUUUUUGCCAGUGAUAUGGUACAGUACCAGCUGCUGGCACAUGGUAUGGGACUACUUUCUGUACGGCACAUUGUGUAUCAACCUUGGAAACCUUUUGGAAAGUCCACGGUACUGUUCGUACCAUGCUAUUCCAGUUGUAUUGGAAACCUUGAUGGGCAGUGAGUUUGGAUAAAAGAGGCUAUACCUAAGAAGAGUUCCAAAUGGUGGUUGCAUCUAACAAGAACUGUCAUCAAAGCCUCAAAGAGAAGUGCGUUCAAGAAGUUUCCAUUUCUAUUAUGAUGACUCAAAUCCUUCUAAUUUCCAGAUUUUCAGGGGCAGUUGUCCUUCCCUCCUUCCCCACCCUUCAUUUGGUACUGAUUCUCACCUAGGAAGCACUGUGCAUACAUCACAUGUACACCACACCUCUUCAAUAUUUCUUAUUGCUUGUGUGUUUUGUUGUGGGCCUACUUGUCCUUAACAUGGGAGGAAAAUAAAUUGGCUGUUUUUAGGUGUUCCUGAGAUCAUGUCUCAUUUCCUAUUUGUCGCAGUAAUUGCUCAUCUUGCUAAGUCAAUCACAAUGCAUCCAUUUAGCUACUAGAAAAGGCAUCCAAUUCUUUAUUAACUUCUAAUUGUACUUGUACCUAGCAAAAUUCGUUCAACUUUCUAUGCACUUGCUUCCAAGCAUCCACCAUCUCUUAACAUUAUUUUGCAUGUGUCUAGUUGUUCCACUAGGGUCUUAUUUAGAUGGUUUUAUGUACAACAAACGUUAGAGAUGGUUCCAAACAGGACACUUGCACUUGUGUAAAAUACUUAAAAUGAUAGGAAUGCUGAUAAUGCACUUUAGACACAGUAUUGCUUUCAGAAAACUUGUUGCUUGAGAGUUCACUAAGAUGGCCAUAAUGGAAUUUGGUACCUACAGAGUUUGAAUUCAAGGUGGUUCCUUUGCAAUGAUAGAAUAAUGUCAGGUUAGUCAGGAAUAUGCUACUUGAUGAUGUCAAUGAUUUGCUGAGGGUUUGCAUAACAAGUGGACGUCAUAUCUUCCAUCAAGAAAAGGUUGGUGACCAGGCUUUUAGUGGGGCCUGCAUGAUGUAUAAACUAAAGUUUGGAGAAGCUACUUCUUGAACUUCUUAGCCUGCCAGAAUGGACAGGUCACUUUGCCACUUCUGGUUGGUUAGCCGUUUACAUUAAAUUGCAGAAAUAGAGCGUCCAGAGUAUUGAAUAGUGGAAAAUACUUUCUAGUGCUAGGAUAGGUGGGAGAAGGCUUCUGCAUACCAUUUGAUCCAUAUUGCAGCUAAUUGGACUCUUACUAUUUAUCUGAUAAAGUCUACUUCUGGUGCAGAAAGGGAAGAAAGAAGCUGAAGAAAAGACCAGGAGUUGGCAGCUACCAUGGGUUCCUCCCCCACAAGAAGAGGCACCAUCUGAAGAAGAACUUGCGAGAAAGGCAGCCCUAAAGGAAAAACAAGGCCAAAGAUUGCGAGAUAUGGCUGCAGCAAAGAGAUCGAUUAGAAUAUCAGAGAUGGAAAAUGAAUUACAUGGUUUGAAAGAUCUUCUGCAGCAGCUUGGUCAGGUGGAGGAAACUGAAAUUUCAUCUAUUCUAUCCAAAACAGGGUAUGACUCCAGGCAAGAAAUUGAGUCUGCUAUUCAAAAAAUAACACAAUCCUUAAGGAAAGCAAAGGGUGAGCCCAAUGAAACUGAGGAGAGAAUAGAUGCUUCAUUAGCAGAAAAAUAUCCACUUACCAAUGUCCCUGAUGACAUGUUGACACCAGAGCAGGUGUGGCAAGCUCCAUAUCCAAUACUUUUUUAUGAAUAUCUUUUUAAAUAAACUAUAUCUGGCCCAAAGUACUGCUGUUAUAAACUAUUUUUUCUAGAUUGCGGGCAAAAAUUUUUCUGUACUGAUAAAUUUGGAUAGUUAUUUGUCAUCCCUGAUAGCUGUUCUGCUGUUAGCAACUCUUGGAGAAUAGAUCACUGCUUGCUUUUCAAUUUUAAUAAAAUGCUGACAUUGAACCUUUUUAUGUGGCAGCUAAAAGAAAAAAGGAAACAGACAUUUCUCAAGACCACAUCUGAGGGCCGAUUGCGUGCUAAACAGAAACGCUUUGAAGAGGAAUCAAUGCGAGAGAAACAAAACCAACAAGAAGAAGAAAAACGCUUGUAUGCUAUCUUGUUUCUUAACAAUUCUGAAAUUUCUGCAUGGGGGUCCUUUGAUUUUUCUAAGAAUCUUUUUUUUUGGGAAGAAAAUAAAGUGAUCGAUCUGUAUGUUCGUGUUAAAUCUUUUGCAAUAAAUACAUGAAUAUCCUUUUCCAAUUGCUGCUUCUAUCUUUUCUGUUAUUGUACCUGGCUUGGUUUAUCCAGGUGCCCCAAUAUAUUUGAGAAUUCAGCGACCAUGCCAUCGCCAGCUCAAACAAACACAGGAAUAUAUAAACAUACAAGGAAAAUAUAUCAAAAUACAUUGACUUCUAGAGACUUGAGAAAUUAGUGAUACUUUUUAGAAAUCCUGCACCUCUUGUCCUAUUCUAUGAAAGAAGAAAACAGCAUGAUAUGUUGAUGCUUUGUUAGAUUGGUCCCUGUAUGUAGGUUAGUAUUGUUUGGCACUUGAAAUAUUCAAGUCUUAAAUGCCUUUUUUAUUUUUAAAACAUUUAGGAGUCUUAAUUGCCAUUUUGCUGACAUAACCGUGCUACUCUAACCUUGGGGUACCAAACAGUGUGGUGCUUGUAAUGUCAUGUCCAAUGCUGAAAAAUGUUCACGCUUUGGAAAUCAUGUAGGCUUAAGAGUCCCACUAAAGCCCUUGAUAUUUUUAUUUUUUCUUUUUUCUUUUUAUUUUUAAGAAAAUAGAGUUUUCUAGCUUAAGUAUCAUUACAAAUAUCAACUUAUAAUUAGUUCAGCUAAACUAUGUUUUUUCUUGAUUCCUAGUCAUGUUUAAGUUUUUUGUAAUAUACCGUUAUUCAAAUGCAGAGAGAACCCAGAGCUGUACCUGGAAAAAUUACAUGCUAGAUACAGGGAACUUUCUGAGAAAGUUGAGCAGAGGAAACGCUUGAAGACAAAUGGUGCCCGCACGAAUGGUAAUCAGAAUUUGUCAGGUGGUGUUGGCCGUGGCGAGCGUUUAAAUGCAGCUCAGAAAGAAAGGAUGCGCCUCUUGACAACUGCGGCAUUUGAUCGGGGAAAAGGUGAAGACACUUUUGGAGCUAGAGAUGAAGAUUGGCAACUCUAUAAACUGAUGAGCAAAGACAAUGAUGAUGAAGACAAUGGACAAGAGGAGGAUGAAGCAGAACUAGCACGUGUUACUGCUAGGCUUCAGGUUAGUUUCCUGCUACUGCUGGUGUUUGUAUUGACAACUGGCUAGUAUUGUUCUUCUCUCUCUCUUCCCCUCAUGAAGAAGACUCGUGUUAUGGGUAGCCCUCUGCAACUUGUGCCUUUGACAAGCAUUUUGCAGCUAUCUUCAACUGGAAAUAUGCAAUAUUAUGUUGUCAAUCGCACAGCUUAAAUCAGUGAUUCAUUUUUUAGUUUUAUUUUACUUUAUGCUUUUAAGAUGGGAGCCAAAUUGUUGAUUAGUUACCUGGAUGACAGACGCUCUUAAUUUUUUUAAUAUUUUAAUAUUUUUGAGGAAAAAUCCUCAUGAUUGAACCAAAUUGUUAUACGAUUAAUUGGUUAUCUUUAUGACUAUGUUAAAACUACUUAUCAUCUCUGCAACUAUGUCUAUCUGGAGCUUUUCAUUUGCUUGAAUUUUGAAUAUAUUUGGAACUGCACAGUCACUUAUCUUUUGGGUGAUAAUGAUAAUUAAAAGAAAAAAAACAAUGUAAUUUGUAAACCUUUUAUCCAGAAUUAGGUAAGUGGAGGCCUCUGAUAGCAUACUUGGAUUCACUUUUUCCCCUUUAUUCAUGGAUUAUAUACUUAUUUUUUUCCUUUCAUUGUUUCUUUUUUUUGUUCAACAUUUAGUUGAGCGAUGAGAAGGGUUUCUCAUCAUGAUGUAGGUACGGUUGUUAAAAAUUUGGGCUCAACAACACUAGUACAACUUGAACUCAUAAAAUGCAUAUCACAGAUUUGCUUUUGCCUCCAAACAGUGCUUAAAAUUCAAGCUGGAAUUUACUGCAAUCAGAGAUAGAUGCAAAAAUGAAUUCUCAUAGAUUUAAGGGUUUUUGUUUUUUUUUUUUUUGAGUUAAAUUAAGAUGUACUUGGAAGAGCUAGUUUGUGACUUUCCUUAAAAAUGGGUUUUACAUUAGUUGGCUUUUCGUAAGUUGUAACAAAGGUCAGGUUUCGGCCCUUGUAGAAGAUCUAAUUGAGCACGAUUACUUAGAAAAGCCUUAGUUUAGUUAUUGGUUAUCUUCCCAGAGUUUUGAAGUGAUGUAUCAUGUAUGGUUAUUUAUGCAUAGGCUUUAUAAGUCAAGUUUUUUUCAUAAGACAGUCCAUUUAUUGGUUAAAUGUGAUCUAGUAAUCAACCCCCUCCCUCCCUCCCUCCCUCUAUUUUCCCCUUCUUGUCCUCCUCUGUACCACCUUAUUGAUUCCUGUUCAUCCUGUUCCCUUUGUAGUUGAUUUUUCUUUUAGCAUUCUUCACCUUUAUCUUUCACCUUUGUCAUUCAUUCACCCUGUUCCCUUUGUAGUUGAUUUUGCUUUUAGCAUUCUUCAUCUUUAUCUUUCACCUUCGUCAUUCGUCACCAUUAUUGGUGUUGUCGGUAAGAAUCAGGCAUGUUGCUCCAUUUCUAUUUCUUAAACUUCAAUUCCAUCAUUUCGCAACUGUGAGAUAUGUGUAUGCAAAGCUUCUUAGCAUUUGCAACCAAAUUUGUGUUAGAUAUUAUCCGCUCAGAAUUUAAGUUUGGUAUCUGCAAACAGAAUGUCAAGGUCAAUUUGCCUUCAUGAUCAACUUAAUUAUUAAUUUACUCAGCUGGGGUAGUAAGUUCUGGCUAAUUUACCUGAAUGCCACUUUCAAAAUGAACAUUUUUCUUUAACACACAAUGAUUAAUUUUUUAAAAUUUGUCGUUCAUGGUCCUUCGUUGUUAGGUUGAGAACCAGACAUAAGUUAUGUUACUCCAUUUUGUCGUUAAAAUUUGAUAGUGCUAAAUGCAGAUUUUAAAACUAUUUGGGAAUGGGUUGAAUUUGCAGCCUGCGCCCGAUAAGUUCUGGUCAGUGUGGGGGAAGGGGAUGUUGCAAAAGAGGAGGCAAAAAUAAAGAACCAUAGAUGGAGGUCCCCAAAACGGAUCUCAACAAUACAUCAUUGGAGAAUGAUGCAGGGCCUAUGAAGUGGAUUCCAACACACAAGGCUUCCUACCUAUCUCUGUAUAGCAUUUAUCAAGGAAUUAGGUGCCAAUGGUGCAGUGUGCCAGCCGGCAUGUGCAAUGGUGGGCUAGUACUGGUGCACAGCAUAGCACAGCACAGCACAGCACAAGCCUUGCAGGUGUGUGACCAGCUAGCCCACUGGCAACUGCUUUUAGAACCGUCGCCUUCAGUAAUGUUGGUCUUUACCUACUAAAAACUGUACAAUUGCACUGCAAGGUCUUUCUUCGUAAAUAUUUAUAUAUUUUCCUAUUUAGGGGCACAAAGCUGAUCCAUGCUGCAAAGCACAAAAUCACAUUGGUUAUCUGCUCACCAUGUCUCUGUUCCUCAUCAUCGAUGUCGUUCACACUACUGAAUUCUAUUGUAUGCUUUCUUUUUAUUGGUAGUUGAAGACUUGUUAAGGCCUUUUUACAUGAAGCACCCUUCUCUGUCUGCACUAACAAACUCAGAUAUUUCAUGUGAGAAGUCAGAGAUCCAGAGGACAGUGCCAUGCUCGUUUGCAGCCGGCAUGGCUAGCCAGUCACUGAUUUGGUUAGCCUCACUGUACACGAGAGAUCUUACAAGCUUCAUGGUUUGGAUCAUACUCCAACAUCCAAAAGAUUGGCUGGUAGGAUUCAUUUGUUUUAAGGCAUUGUGUUCGCUGAUGAUUUCCUUUGAGGGAAUCUGUAUGCUUUCUUUAGUAAUCAUUUUUAAUGAAGAAACUAUGUUGCAAAAAAAUUAUAAAAAGCUCUUUUUCAAAAAAAAAAAUUCUCAAAAAUAAUGGUUUCUGUUAGUCUACACACAUUGUCUGAUUGAGAGGUAGUUCCUCAUGGGAUUUCUGUUGAUCUAGUAUAUGUUUUGAGUAUGGUGGCUGCAGGAUAUAUUCCUAUACCUAUUGCAUAAGUUAGACUUUUUUGAAAUAUCAGCUUGGAUUGAACCUACGGAAUGAGGUAUGUGUUCUAUAAUUUGGGUUCUCUAAUCUGACUUGAUUACAUUUCUUGUCUAUAUAAUAUCAAGUUAUUGGUAAGGUUAAUAUCAGCGCACUUGUUAGUCUUUUUAUUUUUUUCUUUUCAGCUAGACCAGUUCACGUCCAGUUUUGCUAGGCUGGGAUCCAACUUGUUAAGAUAAUGAAUUCAGUUUUAGUACUCAGGCUAGUAUCUGUUGCACGCUGCGUUACUUGGCUGAUAUGUAGAUCUGGCUAAUAGUCAGGUCACCGGACAUAUGUUAUCAAGAUGUUUUAGUUGUUACCGUCCACCUACAGUACCAUCUCUUGUGGCCUUGCACAAAUAAUUCUUAUAUUCUUCUAGAUAUUGUUACAUAUGGGUUCCUGUGACAUGAAUAUUUUUCCUGUAUGUGAAAAAUCUGUUGGGCUAUUAUUUUGAACCAUAUACUGAUGCACGAACUUAAUUAUUAAUUUAUGAUAUUUGAUAUCCGGACAAGCUCUUUGGUACAAGUUACAAAUCUUGACACAUGAACUUAAUUAUUAAUUAAUGACAUUUGAAAUUCAGACAAGCUCUUUGGUACAAAUUACAAAUCCUAAACAGAAGUUCAGGUUUAGCCGGCAUUGCAUAAGCAAGGAUUCGCUCAAAGUAGUCUGGAUUGGUCCUGAUGAAUGAUUGGUAUCACCUUUAGAUGUGAUCUGUUUGUCAAUCCUUUUGCAGGAUAUUGACCCAACUUUUGUUGCUAAAUCUGACAUGGUGCCGCUUCAAGGGACCCCUGAACUCCCCCGGUUCCGUCCUCUCACUGCAGAAGAUUUCCAAAUUGUUAUUGGUGUUGAACGUUUCCGAUGCCCUGAAAUCCUAUUCCAGCCCAACAUGGUCGGAGUCGAUCAAGCUGGCCUUGAUGAGAUGGUUGGAGUCUCACUCCGGAGGCUGUCUACGGUGGAUGAUGCUGUUAAGGACCGCAUCAGUAAUUCAAUACUUGUUACUGGUGGCAGUUCUCUCUUCCCUGGUUUGGUGCCUCGCUUGGAGGCUGGGAUCAUGCAAAUUCGCCCGUAUCUCUCCCCUUUAAAGGUUGUAAGAGCAUCAGAUCCAAUAUUAGAUGCAUGGAGAGGUGCAGCAACCUACGCAGCUUCUUCACACUUUGCAACACAAACGUUCAGCAUGCAAGAUUAUUAUGAGAAAGGUGAAGCCUGGCUUCGGCAGUACCACAUCCAAUACACUCUGUAAUGGUCUUAGCGCUAAUGCAUGAAAGAAAUGAGGCUAUGAUGGAUAAUUUUCAGGAAGCCCUUGUGCUCCUUAAUUGCAGUUAUUUGAUAACCUGCCUGGCCUUUAGCCCUUCUAGUUGAAGUGGUGGAUCUCUCACAUGUGUUUCGAUGACAAGCAUGAGUUGAUAUAUCUCCAUUAACUUUCUUAAGAUAUUGCUGUUAGGUGGUUUCUACAUGUCUAACAUUAAUCAUAUUCCUUUUUUUUUCUUAAUAAAAUAAAUACUAAUAUGUAUUCACGUGACAAUCUGUGGCUAUACCCAGGUCAGCAUGCUCAUGGGUGUUUGUCAUUAUUAGACUUCUAUAUUUAAUUAUAUAUAAAUCCUUCUCCAGGAUUUCUUAUAACUAAUCAGAUGUAUGGCAUGAUAAUGAAUCCAGGAUGGACUCGGUGACAGUUUUUAUGAACUUUUAAGGGGUCUGUUAGUUUUGAAUUUUGCUGUAAAACCUUUGAAGCAGUGAUAGCCAAACUUAAACAUUCAAAGAAUUUGUUUUUUUUUUUGAUUUUAGUCGGUCAGCUGGUGGCUGGGUUAGACUGACAAGUUUGGAGAGCAGACUCAGUUCAAUUGGGCUGGUAACCCAACUCCAAUUGUUGGGCCGACUGGCUGGAACCGGGCCUGUGGUUAUUAUUUCGGGAUCACGAGAGCCUUCAAGAAAAUCUCUAGGCGGUAAAUAGCUACAUUUUAUUUUGUAGAUAACGUGGCACAAGAUAAAUACGUUUGAUUAGUGAGGCCUCUGGCCAGGGCAUCUUACCCACUGCCAACACAAAAGGCCGCGAGUGGUGCACGCGUACGUGGUCCCCGCAUGGAUUAAUUAUGGAAGCCCUGCGAGGACGUGGAGUGGAAGCAUAGGGGUCCCAUCAGGCCCCUUGUGAAGAAGUCAAAGCUCGAGGUUCUGACUUAUUUUUACCUCUCGGUUUCAGGUUUGACUAGGAGUAAACAUCUUUUUACCACCUCUUAAUGGUGCAUCCUCUCUCUCUACAUCUCGCCAGAAGGGUUAGGUACCGUUCAUCCUAUGGGGUCCGUCGGGGGAAGACAUAUCCAACUGCUUCACACGUUGCAUGUGACACGAGCGGACAAAAUCCAAGCAGCGACCACUUAAUGUAAUCGUCAUGAUGGGCCCCACCGGCCGUUGACUUUCCUCUCCCUGUCGUCCCCGUAAUCCCAUGUUCCGGUUUCACGGUUCCGCAACGUGGGCGCUGACUCCGUGGCUAUACGCCCUACACUCCUCGUCCUCUCGCCCAGCACAACGAGCUGGCUCACCCAUCCCCACCCUCCCGCUGCCGGUCAACGUCUUGUCUCCUUCUGCCUCGGCUUUAAUUUCUUUUGUUCCUUUCACUCAGAACAUUCCAACGUCACAUCUUCCUCCGCUCUCCAAAGUCAACCCACGUAAAAAAAAAAAAAAACUUAUGGGACACUCUAAUCUUCCCUCGCUCGCAUGCAAUUGCCCUCAUUGGUUGGAUAUGGUGGAUGUCAGAGCGAUAUUUUAUAUGAUUAGGAUGCUUGGUGACCAUACUUGGAACAUGUGGUGACCAAACUGCCCGUAACUGAGAGCGGGAGAGAGGGCUCGAGAAGGACAAAAUUGUGAGCCAGCCAAUUUUGACUGAGCUUGGGGUCUGAAUAAGGCGAUAGGUUCAGGUACAUGUGGAAAUGCGUUUGAAAUUGUAGCCUAAGUUGGAGGGAGUUAAUUUCAAGCCCAAAUUUUGAAUAAGCGUUGAUUAUUUAUGGUUGAUUCUACUCGAUCGGAUUUAUAUUCUUAAUAAAAAGAGGGAGAAAAAAGAAAAUCUAACUUGAGUGGGUUCAGAAUCAAGGGUUCAUGAGCAACUUGGGUCGAUUGUUUGCUCCAUGGAGAGUCACGGAAUUAGAGAUGAGCACAUGUCGGUCAUUUAUGGUGCUGUUGAUAAGAACUCCUGUCCCCAUGCCCUCAUAUAUUUGGGAUGCAAGUCUUAUGGUUUCUCGUUGGGGGUAUUUUAGGGGAAUCAAUUCUUGCAGUCACAAGGGAAGGAGGCAGGUUAGGUAGGAGGACUUAAUUAUUUGGGGGCAUUUGCUGUGGUGUGGUGGUUGUGGAUUGAUAGGAAAGCUAUAGUGUCUCAACUGCGCGCAUAUAAUCUUGCAAUUCUGCCCCCCCCCAACUCUCUCGAUCCAAUUAACCAUUUUCCUUCGCUUCGACAGCCCUGUUUUGUACUUGAGAACAAUAUUUUGACGAGAGAACAUCCAUGAACGUUAGUUGGAUAGUCCAUCCAUCAUCCUUUAGUGGUUGACCUUUGCAUUAAUUGAAAAAGGCAAUUGCGGUUCAGGUGGUUUUGGUUAACAAUAAGAUAACGUCUUUAAUCUUAACAAUAGAGGAAAAUAGACGGAAGUAUUGUAGCAGCGGUUCGCCACUAACGCAUGGGCAUUUUGGUCAUGGAAGAUGGUAAAUUCUGUGUGGCUUGAUGCUUUAAAAGGCUCAGCAUCUGCAUGAACGCAAUGCACGGUUGAAGCCUCCUAGUUUGUCCCGAUCCCUUCUCCAGUCUAUUCUUCCUUCCUACAUCCUAUAAUCCUCCUAUCCUUUCCUUUAAUCAGUCCUGCUACACUUCAAAUCCAAUGGAAGAAGUAGAUGAGUACUCGGAGGCCAAUUGGCUUGAUGCUUCUUGUGAGGAGCUUGUGAGGGAGCUCCUUGAUGAUACCACGCCUUUCUUCGUCUCGCCCAAGGUCACAGAACCUGAACCAGACACAAGCCGUGAAUCCAUGAUCAACAAUCUUAUCUCAACAGUCUACUCGGGUCCAACGAUUGGGGACGUCGAGAGUGCACUAUCUGUAACCUUUCAGAGUGGUGAAUCCGAUGGUCACGGCGGUUCCCGACCCAUGUAUGUUUCAUGAAGCCUUUCUUCUUCAUUUAAACUCAAUUUUGUUUGUCUUGGCAACUCCUAGGCCUUUGGAUUGUGUUUAACUGGCCAUGCAUUUGCUCCUCUUCUUGCAGUAUUUCAUUACCGGAGAAGGGAUUGGGUAAGAUGGAGAGUAAGUAUACGCUAAGGAUCAAGACCUGCGGGAAUGGGCUUGCUGACGAUGGCUACAAGUGGAGGAAGUAUGGGCAGAAAUCCAUCAAGAACAGUCCUAAUCCGAGGUCCAAUCUUGAGUCUCAUAAGAGCUUACUCUUUAAAAUGCUGAUAACUUGUUAGUUGUUACCUAAAAUUCAUAUGACUAUGCUUGUCUUCAAGGGAUGCUAUGUUUUACUGCAUUCGGCCAUACUUUCUUGCUGCCGCCGCCGCCUUCUUCUCUCCCCCUCUUGCCCUGUAAUUCUCCUCAAAUAUUUUUUCCAAUCCAAUGAUGUCACUACGUUGAGGUCCCUGAACAUAUAUAAUAACACCUCUUUUUCUUCCUUUUCCCUAGUUGUGCCAAUAGAAAGGAGAAAACAAAAAAGAAAAAAGGUAAAACAAAAACAUUAUAUAAUUUUUGAAAAACAAGAACGUUAUAUAGUUACUACUUGCAACGUUGAGCAUAUGAAGGCUGUGGGAUGACCGUUACUCUUUCAUGUAAUUUCCAGUUUUUUCUAAUUUGCAUGGAAGUGUAAUUAUUUAUUUAUUUAUUUUUAUUAUUAUUAUUUUUUAAAAAUGUAAGCUCACUUGGGUCUCUGGAUUUUGAGCUCCCACGUCCACCAUUCGAGUCACCGACAAAUCCUCCACCAGAGAACAGGAUAGACGUGCCCCAACCACCUGAACGUACCAAAUUUCUAUAACCAUAGAAUGGCUACCCUUACAUUUAACAAUUUUCAGCAGUCUGGAGACACCAAAAAGAAAACUAUAAGCUUCUGUCGCUUUUUCUGCACCCAGAAUUCUCUCUCUCUCUCUCUCCCUCGUUUUUUUUUUUUUAAACCAGAAUUCCGCACACAGAAAUCUCUCUUAGACAAGGAGAUCACUUACAGUUUGUACUUAAUUUCCAUAAAUGAGAAAAAAUGUGUAUCGGAAGGUGCAAUAUGAGUGGAAACAACCCUUUCCACAUUGGAUGUUUUAUCUCCAGAAAUCCUCCUAUUUUGGGGGUAAACUCAUAAAUAAGCCACAGCCCACCUACACCCUGGAAUUGGAUGCCUGCCUAUUCUGAAUUCAUGCCUUUUGCUUUCCAUUCCAAAAGGCAUAUCUCGCUCUACUUUUGAUCCUUCCACACCAGCUUAAGUGGAAAUCAAGCGCGUUAGUCUCGCAUCUUCUGUUCAGUGGACCUGCUUCCAUAUGUGACAAAUAUAAACCUGCAUGACAAAUAUAAACCCGCACGAAGUAAAAACUCACCAGACUUUACUUAAAGCCACCUAAUUUAAACCUUUAGCCACACCACAUGCUGCCAUUUUGUUUCCCUCGUGGAGUUUACAUCCACAAGCAAGUCGACAUCCAAGCCUUGCAAAAAUGUUAUCAAAAUCCCUGAAAUUCUGCAUCACUGCCAUGAUCUGAAAAUUUUCUUUUUCUUCGCUUGUUUUCCUCAUGUUUGCUGCCAGGAGCUACUACAGGUGCACCAACCCAAGAUGCAAUGCCAAGAAGCAGGUGGAAAGGUCAACAGAUGAUCCAGAAACGCUCAUUGUCACCUAUGAAGGCCUCCACCUCCAUUACACUUACUCACAUUUCUUCUUAUCCCGGCCCCAUGAUUACUCAACUACCAACCUUCAUGUGUCUAAGAAACCGAGGAUCCAAUCCAUGAGCAUGCAGACACAUGUAGCUGAUUACCCACUUACAGAGAGCACAGUGUGGAGCCCAUCGGUCAUGGAACAGCAGCAGUUGCAGCCUGGGGUCAGCGGAGACCAAAGCCCAGAAGGAGAUGUUCUGGAGGUUGUUGUGCAGAGUCCAGUCAGAGAGGACAUUUCGCAGCAGGGGUUUCUUGAAGAUCUCAUGCAGAGCCCACAAGGGCUGUUAGAAGAUGUGGUGCCGUUGUUGGUGAGAAAGCCAUCCCAUUCAACCACCUCUUCAUAUGACCCACACUCCUUAUCACCAGCAUCUUCUCCUUCCUAUUCUUCCCUUUCUUGGACACCCAGCUUUUCUUAUCUUGAUGUGGGAAUACUCUCAGGCAUCAUCUGAAUGGAAACUGGCACUCAAAAGGACAAAGAUAGUAGCAUCUGCAUGGUAGUUUGGUAGCUAGGACGAUAAAUGAUACACUUUAUCCGAAAUUGCAUGGGUAAAAUGAAGUUACUCCACUCCUCUUUUACACCAUGUAAUACCUGGGUGACUGGAUAUGAGAGUAUGAUAAGGGAGUACUGCAUAUAAAAUGUACAAUAUGUUAUCAAGAAUAAUAUGUACAAUAUAAAUAUUGGUAUUUUGUUGCUGCAGGGAUCUCUAUUUAUAUUUCCCUUUUUAAUGCAUCAUAACCUUUUAUAUUAUACCAGAAGGAUUUCCUCGGUAUAAAAUGCUUCAGUAAUUGAUGAUCGGUACCCAAAGUUCUUGGUUGUUUCCUUUUUUCUUCUCAGUUUCCUUCUUGGUGAGCAAGGCCAAGUUCAAGAAACAACAGUGGAGGAAAAAAAAAUCAGAUAAGUUGCAAAGUUUAGAAGUUUUAGAUGAUGGAAAUCAGAAAUUUUAAUAAAGAUCGAACUCAAUAUAUGGAAUUCAUGACCCUCUCAACAAGCACAUUAUUAUAAAAUGCAUGAAGACUGAAAAGGGAGAAAAUUUCAGAUUAUUCAGAGUACAUGAACAUAACAUGUAGACGCUAACCAGACUUAGAUCGCUCAUGCUUAUAACCUGAACCAGGAUCGAACUCAUCCAGCUGGUUACAGAAUCAAACCUUGAAGUCUUACCAUUAGGUUAUAAGGUGGGUCUACGAAAAAUGUUCCAAACCGACAAUAAGUGAAUAUAAUGCAUCAGAUAAUGUUGCAAAGAAGACCCAAGUCAAAGGGGGAAAAUGAAACACCAAACCAACUUUUAUCCACCAAUGCAGACAUGGAACUGAACCCACCCUAACCUGACAACGUAAUGUAAGUUUCAUUUCAAAGUUUAUACCAUGAACCAGUUCAGUCAGUUUGCAACCCAACUUUAUGAAUGUAAGACUAUCACCACAAGGUAGAAAUUAAAGAGUUAUGGGCAAAGCCAAUCAUAUGAUGUCAAAGGCAACAAGAUUGCAUGAUGACUCAUGUAUGGUAAUGCAAAGAAAUUUUUUGUUGGCCUUGGUCACAAAGCAGAUACCCAAUCAAGUUCACUUUUAGCUCAAGAAGAACAAGUCUGACAAAUCUCACUAGAUCUAAUAAUAACGAUAUCAAUACCAGACACUUAAUUGGAAAAUGCAUAACUGAGUUGCAAACCCACAUACUAUUGGUCCCAAUUAAAAUGAGAUGGAUAAAUGUUGAUACAAGGACUUUUCCAGUGUACGCUUGCAAAGAAAAAAGUCUAGGCACACAGUACAUAAAUCAUUGGUUGAUCAAAAGUCUUGUGAAGAUUUGAAAGCAAAUACCGGUACUGUUAUCUGUAAUCCAAUUAGUGGAGCCUCAUAGAGCUACAUUAAAAUGCAUACUUUUGUAAAAUCACCAUUAAAUAACCUUAAGCAGGAGAUUGAGGAUAUUAAAGUGGUGCAUUCGGUACUAAGUUUUCAAAGUUUCUUUUGCCAUGGAUGGACUGAACCAAAGAAAGGCAUAGCAGGUCCCAUAAGAAUUUAUAUUCAUGGUUGGUUGUUAGGUGAUGCUUUCCAUUAGUCAAUUUAGGAAGGCGGUUGUUAGAUAUACCUGUUCUUAAAAUGUUUCUCAUGUAAAUUAUCCUAUCAUUUUUGAACAAAGGUGCUACAGUUAAUAGACCACGUCAGGAUGGUUAUAUUGCAAAGAGGUAUUGUCAAAAGUGCGCUUCAAUGUCCUGAAGGAAACUAGCCAAAAAAGAACAUGUAUCAGAAGUACCAUGUAUGAAGAUAUUCAGUUUUUGACACCUAAUCUAAUAUAGGACUAUCAAGCACUACCUGCACUGACACUAGGCCUAGCCUCCGAUCCCACUUGCACACAUAUCUUAACCAGCAAGCCUUGUUUUAUCCAUAUCGGCCUAUGGAUCAUAAUAUGAUCCAUCAAAAAAGAUUAGUCUUUGUGGUUGACUAGAUCUUAUGCUAACCCUCUCAGAUGGCAUGAUUCUAUGACUUCUACACACUAAAUAUGAAACAUGUAUAACAGAGAUUCAAUGAUUCAAACAUAAAUUAAGACAAAAAGGCCUUACAGAGAAAUAUGACUGCACUAAAUCUUUAUCACUGGUAAUGGUAUCAUCAACCCACUAAAACACGCCAAAAUAGUUGCUUGCCACAUCUACUAACAUCUCAUGGGGAGUGGAUUCCUUGAUUAACACUUUCAGACAUGCACAAAUAUGCGUGUGCAUGCACCCACGCAGAGAGAGAGAGAGAGAGACUGUUUCAUGAUUUAGGCUGAUAUAUAUUAAAUCUAAAGCGACAACAACCAGGCACAAAAUACUGAUUUCUACUUUGCCAAAUUAACUUUCCUUCCUAACAACACACUCCAUUGGGAUUGAAGACAGGUUAGAUAAUAUUCGUCCUAGGAUCCAUUUCAUUGUCUGAAUCUAACAGGAUAUGGUUACAAAUUUCAGCAUUUGACUAAUAUCUUAUCGGUAUUCAUUAUCUGUCAAAGAAAAGUGGAUACAGAUAAGGAUAGACAACUGUCUGACCCAUAUCCAAAUGUUCGAUUAUGUUUGUAAUCCUAUUUAGCCUUAUAUGGUUCAUAUGAACCUGAAAGAGAAAUGAAUGACAACAUUAAUAGGUCUUUGACUUACCUUCCAUAGAGUGGAAUCUUUCAUUUGGUCAUUCAUAAAAUUUAACCACUUGAUUUAUAUACAUACGUAUAUCCAUACUAUCGAAUGGACUUGCAAGCAUAUACAUUUAUAACAAACAUAGGUAUGAAUUUUAGUGUUUGAUUCAUACCCAUAUAUUCCAAAUAUGCCAAAUAAAAACAGAUACUGAUAUCUGAUCUAUAUCCAAUAUGUUUGCAGCCCCACACUCACCUACCAUGAUAAAAAUAUCACUAUCUAUCAGUGGUAUCAUAAAGCAUUAACGUAAUACAAAUUAUGAUAACCACUCUAGUUGAUUAUUGCAUAUAUCAACCUCUUCUAUGGAACAAGGACAGACCAAUUAUAGCACCACCUAUCAUUUAACCAUUUCAGAUCAUCUUGUCCUGACAUGUCCAAAUUAGAGCUACCAAAUAUAUCUAUAGACAUAGAUUCCACAAACCAAAAUGACUUUUGCUCCCUUUAGAAGAAACCAUUUGCACAAAAAUGUAGUGAUCAAGAAGAGGGUCUCAUUGGCAGGCUCAUGCAAAAGUUAUAGCUUACUUCAAACUUCAAGGUUCUUUUAUUACCUUUUGUUUCUGAAGUGGAGAAGAGAAGUUAGCAUUUUAGAGCAGAGGAAUGGAUAGAAACAUGGAUGAAUUUUAUUCCAUAUAAUCCAAUAUUUUUUCUGUUUUAUAAUGUAAAUUGAUACAUGCACUUCAGCUUAUGGUUGGUGUAUUUUUCUCUUUCCUUUCUUAAAUAGGAAAAAGGAAGAAAGUUGACCCAAGAGGCGAUAGCUGUUUUUCCCUGAAUACAGUUUCUUUUUUUUUUAUUAUUUUUUUAUUUUUAAUAGAGGCAACUGCCUGAUGAGUGUUAAGUUAGUUUUGGAGAGUUUGAAUUACGAUAUAGAAAAGAUCUUUGUGUUCAUACUCUAGAAUAUAUAAUCUCAAUAUGAGAAUGUUAGUGGAAAUCUAGAACUUCUUUUUACAAUAGUCUCCUUCUCUCUUUAUGUUUGCUCGAUCAGUCUCCAUGCUUAAAGGUUGAAAUCAUCAUUCCUUCCUCCUAAACUAGAAUGAUAGAUUUUGUGCUUCUAUCCCAUCCACUUAUCAAAAUGAAGAAAAGGUGCACUUAGGCAUAUGACAAGAUCCCGGGGCACCUUAUCUUGCUAUCCCAACUGGACUACUUUGACAUCGCCCAAAUCACUUGAUAUCAACUUUUCGUGCUACAAUUUAUUUUCCAUGACAUUUUCUAGCAUCAACAUGAUAGUAGCUAUCUUGACAAUAUUGAAAAAGGUUCUUUUUUCUAACAUUAUUAUGAAAUGUUAUUAAAUGGAGUUUGCUUGAGGAUCUAAAGCAAAAUGCUCUUGCUGGGAACCAACAGCGAAGACAAAUCAUAAAGCCAACUACAACCCACAAAUGGAUAAAAAAGGUGAGUGGAUUAUAUUUCUUCCUUUGAUUGCAUUUACCCUUUUUGUUAUGUUCAAUACAUUUAAAAAUCAUGGAAGUUUCAAAAGGUGGAAUGAUAGAAGGUAGCAUGAUCAUGAAUUCCUGAUAAAAUUAUAACUUGCAGCUAUACUAUUAUAAUUCGCCAAAGAAAUAAGAUGUAGCACACAAUGAGCAUAAAAACAUUAUGAUGCACAUUCUUUGACAUCAAACAAACAACCUUACACAUGUUUUCAGGUUCAUCUUUCUGGGAGCAAGAUUUCCCGCUAAGAAGAAAAAGGGUAAACAUGCUAAACCCACACACUGGUCAAUCAAUACAAAAGAGGAAUCAGCCUGUAUCUGACCUUCUUCAUGUACUCCGUGUACGUCUCCCCAAAGGUCUCCACCAUCAGAGCCUCCUCCAACUCUGCCUUCUGCCCGUAAUAUAACAAACACACUGCAACAAGAUACGCCAAGCUGAGUGGCGCUCGCAGUGUGAUGCAAUGCAGAGCAAACAGCAGCAUCGUGGAAGCAUAGAUGGGAUGCCGCACCCAGCGGUACGGCCCGAACUGCACCACCGCCGUCGGCACCACCACCUUCUCCGAGUACUUGGCGAGAUAAAGAACCGAGUGGUAACGCAUAAAGAGCGUCAUGGCAACCAAAAGCCAUGUCACCGCGUUGGGCCACCCGCCCAAAAUCAGGUGCAAUUCGGGCCCUUCAUACGCUGCCAGCCAGUGCCCGAUGAAUACGAAGACCGCGAAACCAAUCUGAGCGGCACGAGGGAGACCGACAUCCCACUUGGAGUCGUGAGGGCGCGGGUAGAGGUCGCCGUAGAGGCGCUUGCGCACAGAGGACUCGAAGAAAAAGAAGUAGUGAUAGAUGAAGAAGAUGGCGAUGGGCCAGCCCUCCAGGAAACCGUUGAAGUGGGCCGGCGGGACAAGGGUGAGCCAGGCGACGGUGGAGGUGACGAUGGCGACCUGCUCGACGAGGGUGGAGCAGCCAAGGGAGUGGCGGCGGAAUGAGUAGAGGCCAUAGGCGGCAAGGAGGAUGGCGAGGAGCCAAGGCCAGAAGACCCAGGCGAUGCUGAAGUAGGUCCAGAAGAAAGGGUCGAGGAGGAGGGAGGCGGUCUUCUUGGCAGCAGCAAGGGCGAGGGCAAGGACGGCAGACCACUUGCAGACGGUAAGAGGGGUGAUGCCGGAGAGAUCUAUAGCACGGAAGCGGAGGAAGAAGAAGGGUUUAGGUAGGGUUCGGGGUUCAGGUGAGGAUUGGAACUGGGAUUGGGAGGAAGCUGAGAUGGAGGUCAGGUGUUUGUGGUUGGGCCUGAGAGAGAGAUUGGUGGAAUUUUUGAUUGGAAAGAAAAGGUGGGUGGAGUUGGGGUGGAGAAGGAGGGCGCGGGAAGGGAGCGCGAAGGAGGAGAAUUGGGAGGCAGGAGGUCUGAGUCGAGUUCGUGGGAGAGUUGGAAGGGGCAGCGCCGGUGAGUGGAGGAAGCGGGUGGCGGUUCCCAUUUGCUUGUCUUGUAUGAGAACCGUUUGAACCGUUGAACGAGUGCCUCCUUUGGCAGCGGAUGGCUUAUGCGGGCAACGCGUGCAGCACACGUGCGACUGAUGAGGUGCCUCCUGGGGUCUACCGAUAGUAGAUGGUGAGUGAUCUCUACGGCUAAGGGACGCUGACACGAUAUCUGGUUCCAACUAAUAAAACUCAGGCAGAUGUUAGACACAAUGUGAUAUAUUAUCGAACUUUAGUUCAGACGGUAUGACGUUUGGAUGGUACCGUCUCUUAUCACUUGGACAAUUGAUAGGGGUUCCAGUUAGAAUUGCCCUCAAAAGAUCGAAUAUGAAUAGGAUUGAAAAGAUGAGAUUAGCUCCUUUUAAUCUUAAAAAAUACAAUAAUAUAAGAGUUGAUAUCAUCUAAAUGGAUAUUUUAGGUUGAUCAUAUUUGAUUGGUCAAAGGAAAUCAAGUAUUAAAGGAGGCGUGGACUGAAAAAAAAAAAAUACUAAAGCAGCUGACCCGACUUGAUAGGACUUGUGAAUCCUUCUAUUUGUCAACAGAAGUUUAACACAUUAUUUUACGAGUUUCAAGAUAUACCCCGCUUGCUUAAUGAUGUUGGGUAGCAGUAUCAUGCCAAUCACACGAGUCAAACAAGAUUACAAAAGAAAAGAGGAAGAACAGGCACAUUACCCCUUUUAGGAAGCGAAUUAUUGUCUCAUUGUGACGGUCUCAUGAUAUCAUCGUAUCACUUAAUUGGUUCCUUUGGUAAUAGCAAAGAAAUCGUAAUAAUGAUUUUACACUAGUUUUUAACCGCAUGCAUGGGAUUAUAGCGCUGAUGAGGCUUAGGACUUAAAAUCCAGGGAAAACAGUGUUCAACAAGAGUAUAGGACCUUUCGAUUCUCUGCUUGAUUUCUACAUCAUAACACUGCUGAAUUCUUUCAAACAUGCAAUCAUAAAUUUCAGUUCUAUAAGCAAUAAAUGUUGAUGUUAUUUGGUGCUUUGUUCAAGCAGAAGCAAAGCAUUCAAAUUUUCAAACAUCAUAGAGCGUUUCAUAGCAGUAUCAUAUAUCUUCACUCUUUCAAAGACCUCAUAUAUUUCUAUGUGCAAAGAAAAAUAAAAACCAUAUUAAUUACUGGGUUGCUUUGCAAUAAGAAACAUUUGUUUGCAUAUUCGAACAGAUAAAAUCCACUUCUACUUUUAGUAUAUAUCAUAUAUUAUAAUAAAAUUUUAUUUGAAAUUGCUAUUGGUAGUGGAGCUUUGAAGCUUUUAAAAAUAAAAUUUUUGAGAAAUAAAAUUUUUCAAAAUAGAGUUUUUACAAAAAAAAUUAUUUACUGUUUGAUAACCGUAUUAAUAAAAUAUUUUGAAAAUUUUUUUUCGAUAUUAACUAGAAAAUAUUUUUGAAAAAAACUUCAAAAUACAGUUUUUUUUUCAAGUAAAUUUUUUCAAUUUUUUGAUAAAAUCAAAAUAAUUUAUCAAUAUUUUUAUCAAACAUCAUUGUAUUAUUUUUAAAUAUUUUUUAAAAAAUAAAAAAAAUUUUUAGUACCCUAAAAAUUUAGUCAAAUAGAAUCUAUCUCUACCUUGAGGAAACCAGCUAGCUCCAACCCCUUUUUUUUUUUUUCUCGAAAAAGGUUAGAGGAUCUUGCAACAAAAAAAAAAAAAAAGGUUUUAGAGUAUCCUGCUGGUACAGGUAGGAGUGGAUUUUAAAUAAAACUAAGCGACGAUAUACACCUUUCCACGAUCGGCUAUUCAAACCUGCCUGGUCUAACGGCUACUUAGACACGCUGGCAGUGGGUACCGCUGCUCCUCCCUAUUCCCAAGUUCUAUCACCAAGACUCACCUUCAAAACUUAGGCUGGAGUGACGACCGUUGCAAUACUGUGGCCGCCAAAACCUUCCAAAAGGAGGCGAAUCUUUUCCUCUCAAACACCAGAUUGCUCUGCCUCCCAGGCCAUUCCCCUCGAAAUCCAUCUCUCUUCCUGCCAAUGGAGGAAUUCCGUGCAGAGAUUUGUGAAGUGGGGAAGAGAGAAGCCCCAAAAAUGGAUUCCAGUAGAUCUCGUUUGAAUCUUCCAGCCGGUAUGGAAACUUCUCUCCAUCUCGACCUGAUUCCUACCCGAUUUCCAGCAAACCCGAAGACGCCAUCACCAUCGAAGACGACAUACAGCGACCGGUUCAUACCUUGCAGAUCAUCCUCGAGGCUCCAGAACUUUGCAUUGGCCGAGAAAUCGUCGCUGGCGAAGGAAGGAGGGAACGAGGCCUAUAUAAGGUUGCUGAGGGCUGAGUUCUUCGGGCCUGAUUCGGUCCCAUCUUCGCCUGGGGGGCAGGGAUCACCAAUCAGUCCAAAUAAGAAUCUGUUCCGCUUCAAGACGGAUCACUCGGCCUCAAGUUCACCGUUCUCAGGAGUAGCCUCCGGCCAGGAUGGGGGCAUUCUAGGUGAGGUGUCGACACCCCCAAGAGUACCUAGGAAAGUACCGAAGACCCCCCACAAGGUAACUGCAAACUCCAGACCUUUCUAUUUUUCUAUCAGAGAUGUCGAUAUUUCAUUUUCCUUUAUAAAACAAAAGGAAUAUAUCAGGUGCACAAGGAAAGAGAUCUCUUACACAGUUGAAGUCCCCAAGAAAGAGAGAAAAAAAAUUAGGAAGCUGAGCUUAGGUCUAAGUCAGAUAUGUUCAGCAACCAAAACAUGUAAAGCUCCAAGGAAACAAAGAACAAGAGACUAGAAUCACCCAAGAAGAUGCAAAACUUUCGAUGCUAGCAAAAUGAAUGUUUACUGAUGGCUUGAUGCAUUGCAGGUUCUGGAUGCUCCAUCACUUCAAGAUGAUUUUUACCUGAAUCUAGUCGAUUGGUCUUCUCAAAAUGUUUUAGCCGUUGGACUGGGAACUUGUGUUUACCUAUGGUCUGCAUCCACGAGCAAGGUUUUGACUUCCUGCUGUCCUUUCUAAAAUCUUAUGGUUUUGCUUGAUGAACUGGAACCCUUUUUGUCAAUCUAAAAAAAAGGAGAAUUUUAUUCAAAUUUAAAUGUCAAUCUUCUUAAGUUGUGCGUUUAUCUUCACUUUUAAUUGUCCUCGUCUGAAGCAAUCAUCUGGCUUGGUCUGCUUGGCUUAGGUAACAAAACUGUGUAACUUGGGUCCUAGGGACAGUGUAUGUGCAGUUCAGUGGACUCGUGAAGGCUCCUACCUUGCAGUUGGAACAAGUCUUGGAGAUGUCCAGGUAUGUUAGAUGGUUCUCGUAGGACUAUAAGACUAAGAAGAUUCAAUUACAAGCUUGACAUCCUUAAUACAACAAGAAAGGUGGGGGGAGAGGGAUUAUGUAGCAGAAAUUACUAAUUGGUUCAGUACAAGAGUAUAGUAGAUACAAGUUUGAUGAAAGAUAAAGAUCCACAGAUGCAUCAGACCUAGUCGUCGAUUCUAAGACUAGCUAAGUUUAGAUCUCAUUCGAACAUAUCCAUGAUACAUAACCAUCCAUGUCCAUAGAAAAAUGCUCCUGCUUAGUUUUGUAGAUGAUCUUCUUGUGGAAAAAAUUGAGAUCAUUCGGGAAAAGGAAUAAAAAUCUCUACGAAAGGAACAAAGAAAUUGAAGAUAGAAAACUAGCUUCACCAAUUUGAGUUAGUAGAAGAUCAUGAAGUUUCAGUUAGCAUUACCUAUUCCUAAGCUUUCAAGUGCAAAUUUCAGAUGCCAAACUUCCAUGACUGUCAUAAAGAACUUCCUGCAGGUGGAUGAGUAGUAGGAGAUCCUGUUUGCUGAGGUGACCAACCUUCAUUUAGUCUUAUCUUCUGGCAAAUAGAUCAAUAAUAUGUAUUUAACUGCAAAUGGUGAGCCAGAGCUUCAAAUAAUGUGCUUGAAUGGAAGACAUCUGAAAUAAUGUAGACUGUCUUGAGUAAUUCGGGAAUUCAAUUCCCAAACUAUAUAAUUUAAAACUUAAUUGGACAUAUGUUCUCAAUCAAAAUUGCACUGGGGUCAUGGUUUAAAGAUGUAUGACAGAUUUGGGAUGCCACAAGCUGUAAAAGGAUCCGGAACAUGGGUGGCCAUCAGACGAGAACUGGAGUCUUGGCCUGGAGUUCCUGCAUUUUAUCUUCAGGAAGUCGAGACAAAAAUAUUCUUCAACAUGAUCUUCGUGUUGCAAAUCAUUUCAUUAGCAAGCUUGCAGGCCACAGAUCUGAGGUAGGUCCUCGAGACGUGUUUGAUAAUACAGGCAAGCAAUUGUGCAUGAGUCCAUACUUUUCAUACAUCUUUCUCAUAAUACAGGCAUGCAAGUGCUUGUGCAUAAGUCCAUACUUUUCAUACGUCUUUCUUAUAAUCUGUAUAUAUACAUUUCAGUUGAAUUAAGCUACAAUUUGUUAACAUGUUGGCAGCAGAUGCUCAAAUCUGUGUAGCAAUAUAGAAUCCAGCUUGCCAUCUUUUAUUGAUCCCUCAAUAAGACAAAAUAUGGCUUGUAUACAGUAUGAGAACUGCAAGUGGGCACAUGGAGAAAGGGAAAAACAAAUUUGCAUCUCAAAUUUUUUAGUCAUUUUCCUUUCCCUUCUUCUUAAAGAAACUAACAUAUGAUAUGCCAGGUCUGUGGCCUAAAAUGGUCCCAUGACGACCGCGAACUUGCAUCUGGUGGAAACGACAACCAGGUCUGCAAGUUAGUAACAUUUCCUUGUUUCAUACCAAUAUUUUUAUAUUUAUUAAAUCUAUUAGUAUUUACCCUGCUUUCUGAAAAAAAUGCAAACCAGUUGUUUGUGUGGAACCAGCGAUCCCAGCAUCCAGUCUUUAAGCUUACAGAGCAUACAGCUGCAGUUAAAGCUAUUGCUUGGUCACCACAUCAGCAUGGCCUUCUUGCAUCAGGAGGCGGGACAGCUGACCAGUGCAUCCGCUUUUGGAACACUAAAAAUGGCAAUAUGCUCAAUUGUGUUGAUACAGGAAGUCAGGUGCUGAUCCAGGUCUAGGUUUUGUUAUGCAGAAUUUAUAUAUGCCGAUACCAGCUCUCACUGUUCGUUUCUGCAGGUCUGCAAUCUUUUAUGGUGUAAAAAUGUAAAUGAAAUAGUCAGCACUCAUGGCUAUUCUCAGAACCAAAUUAUGGUGUGGAAGUAUCCAUCUAUGGGGAAGGUAUGAUUCACUUCUUGGUAGCAAUUUAUUUUGUCCAUUUCGUAUUAAUAGCUACUUCUAAUUUAAUAUUUUGUGGAUGUAAAGGUCCAUAAAUUUCUCUUAGAUUUCACAACCAAAUUAUGUGAAGCGAACAUCCACCUAUGGAGGUUGAUGCUUAGAUAAUAGGAAGUCAAUUAGUAAGACUUGCAUAUGUGCUUUGCUUCUGUUGCCAUCAAUGACUUAAGCAUGAUGACUAGGCAUACUGACUCUAUAUCAUCGCUCAUCAGAAACCUUUGGAGUGAAAUACGGUUUAGAAGCAAGCAGAUAACCUGAACAAGCUUUUUGAUUCUCCAUAAUGGACAACAGAUGGAGUUUCUCUUUGAGAUGCUGAAAAACACUUCCACAAUUAUCUAAGCAGACCAAUUUUCAUUGACCUAUAAACUCUAAGCUCUGACAAGUAUUUUCAGCAUCUAGUUAUGUAUAUUAUGCUUUGUAACAUUCCCCAAGAUAAUUCCAUCCUGGAGGAUUUGACCCUGAAACAGGAAAUAUGGUGAAAAAGAGAUUCAUAAGCAUGACUGGGUACAUAUAAGCCUUGUUAUUAUGCCGUGACGCAUGUUGUGGAAAUUGAUAUUGGCAUCGUAUGGUCAUCUUUUAUUGAAUGAAAAUGUAGUAUUUAAAUAGAUAUUCAGAAAUCUUUAGUAUUUUCCAGAAUAGACAUAAAAUUGGGGAAGGCUUGAGGCUUUUGUCUAUUCAACAAUUUUAUGGAAUAUUUAUGCCGAGUAUUUUGGACUUGGCUUUAUCAAUUUUCUCAUUGAACUAUUUAUGAUUAACCAGGUAGCAACUUUAACUGGUCAUACUCUUCGAGUACUUUACCUUGCCAUUUCACCUGAUGGACAGGUACAUAUUCUUUAUACUCUAACUUUGUGUCUGAUGAUUCCAUAGCUAACUGUAUCUUCCACCUCCAUCUCUUCCCCUCUCCAUAAAAAUAUGGCAAGCUUUGGAUAGAAAACCUCAACAUCAUGUAAAUGUUGUGCAUGUCCACUAAUAUAUGCCUCAUACAGUCAUGUUUUAGUGCAAGACACUGAGAUUUUAAUUAUUCUUCUUGCAGACUAUAGUGACCGGAGCAGGAGACGAGACAUUGAGAUUUUGGAAUGUCUUUCCUUCCAUGAAAACACCAGUAUGCAUACCUAUUACAAAUAGCAAUAUUCGUUUCUCUAAAAAAAAAAAAAAAAUCAGUACCUGUUCUUGUCAACAUGGUUUCACUUAUUCAAAUUGUAAUUCAUCCUUUUGCAGGCUCCUCUUCGUGAUGGUGUAGUUUGGUCCUCAGGACGAACUCAUAUUCGGUGACAAAGUGGCAAGAUGAUCAUCCUUCGUGCAGAAUAAACUGAUUGCUUCAAUUGUUCUGUAAAUUUUCUGGCAAGAAAUUAGAAUGUUGGGCACCUCGUAAUAAGCGUAUUCUUUUUCUUUUUACGUACAUCCUUUUCUGCAAGCCUGCACCUUGUAAUAGACACCCAAAUCCCUCUGUCAAGUUCGGUCAAGAUGGUUGCGUUGUAACACUACCGAAGUCUAUCACUAUUAUUGCUAGGAUUUCAGGUUGUUUAUCUAUCUCUUAAGUGUUUCCAGGUCAGUUUGAGCGCAUAUUGAAAUGUAUCUUCCGACACUGUGAAAUUCCACUUCAUCUUUUGUACCUUUAACCCACGUCUCUCUCUGGCACAUGCCGAGAAAUACAUGCUGUUGCGGCCAAUCGUCUCAUCGUCCGAUCGUCGGGAGACGUGCACCUGCAAAACGAGAAGUCCACACUGAUCGGAGGCGGCUCCGGCGGGGACCCUCCGACGGUCAAGUCAGAGAGGUGACUGGGCAACAGUGAAAUGAAGACAGAGAACUCGAUCGAGGGAGAGAGAGAGAGAGAAGCGAGCCUGUGNNNNNNNNNNNNNNNNNNNNNNNNNNNNNNNNNNNNNNNNNNNNNNNNNNNNNNNNNNNNNNNNNNNNNNNNNNNNNNNNNNNNNNNNNNNNNNNNNNNNNNNNNNNNNNNNNNNNNNNNNNNNNNNNNNNNNNNNNNNNNNNNNNNNNNNNNNNNNNNNNNNNNNNNNNNNNNNNNNNNNNNNNNNNNNNNNNNNNNNNNNNNNNNNNNNNNNNNNNNNNNNNNNNNNNNNNNNNNNNNNNNNNNNNNNNNNNNNNNNNNNNNNNNNNNNNNNNNNNNNNNNNNNNNNNNNNNNNNNNNNNNNNNNNNNNNNNNNNNNNNNNNNNNNNNNNNNNNNNNNNNNNNNNNNNNNNNNNNNNNNNNNNNNNNNNNNNNNNNNNNNNNNNNNNNNNNNNNNNNNNNNNNNNNNNNNNNNNNNNNNNNNNNNNNNNNNNNNNNNNNNNNNNNNNNNNNNNNNNNNNNNNNNNNNNNNNNNNNNNNNNNNNNNNNNNNNNNNNNNNNNNNNNNNNNNNNNNNNNNNNNNNNNNNNNNNNNNNNNNNNNNNNNNNNNNNNNNNNNNNNNNNNNNNNNNNNNNNNNNNNNNNNNNNNNNNNNNNNNNNNNNNNNNNNNNNNNNNNNNNNNNNNNNNNNNNNNNNNNNNNNNNNNNNNNNNNNNNNNNNNNNNNNNNNNNNNNNNNNNNNNNNNNNNNNNNNNNNNNNNNNNNNNNNNNNNNNNNNNNNNNNNNNNNNNNNNNNNNNNNNNNNNNNNNNNNNNNNNNNNNNNNNNNNNNNNNNNNNNNNNNNNNNNNNNNNNNNNNNNNNNNNNNNNNNNNNNNNNNNNNNNNNNNNNNNNNNNNNNNNNNNNNNNNNNNNNNNNNNNNNNNNNNNNNNNNNNNNNNNNNNNNNNNNNNNNNNNNNNNNNNNNNNNNNNNNNNNNNNNNNNNNNNNNNNNNNNNNNNNNNNNNNNNNNNNNNNNNNNNNNNNNNNNNNNNNNNNNNNNNNNNNNNNNNNNNNNNNNNNNNNNNNNNNNNNNNNNNNNNNNNNNNNNNNNNNNNNNNNNNNNNNNNNNNNNNNNNNNNNNNNNNNNNNNNNNNNNNNNNNNNNNNNNNNNNNNNNNNNNNNNNNNNNNNNNNNNNNNNNNNNNNNNNNNNNNNNNNNNNNNNNNNNNNNNNNNNNNNNNNNNNNNNNNNNNNNNNNNNNNNNNNNNNNNNNNNNNNNNNNNNNNNNNNNNNNNNNNNNNNNNNNNNNNNNNNNNNNNNNNNNNNNNNNNNNNNNNNNNNNNNNNNNNNNNNNNNNNNNNNNNNNNNNNNNNNNNNNNNNNNNNNNNNNNNNNNNNNNNNNNNNNNNNNNNNNNNNNNNNNNNNNNNNNNNNNNNNNNNNNNNNNNNNNNNNNNNNNNNNNNNNNNNNNNNNNNNNNNNNNNNNNNNNNNNNNNNNNNNNNNNNNNNNNNNNNNNNNNNNNNNNNNNNNNNNNNNNNNNNNNNNNNNNNNNNNNNNNNNNNNNNNNNNNNNNNNNNNNNNNNNNNNNNNNNNNNNNNNNNNNNNNNNNNNNNNNNNNNNNNNNNNNNNNNNNNNNNNNNNNNNNNNNNNNNNNNNNNNNNNNNNNNNNNNNNNNNNNNNNNNNNNNNNNNNNNNNNNNNNNNNNNNNNNNNNNNNNNNNNNNNNNNNNNNNNNNNNNNNNNNNNNNNNNNNNNNNNNNNUCGGUCGGUCGGUCAAUCGGCCGGUCGGUCGGUCGGUCGGCCGGUCAGUCGGAGUCGGCGGUCGGGGUCGUCGGUCGGUAUAUCCCAACACAUGCCAAUAUUCUGAGAUCCGCAAGGAGCUUUUCAGGGUUCAAUGACACUGAAAGCAGAUACUUAGUGGAGGAAGAUAUGGCAUGCAGGAGAUUUUGGUCUGAUGUUAUCCUGUGAUGGCUUGCAGACAUCUCUAUGCUGUUAUAGACAUCUUUUUCCUUCUUAAAAGAAAACAUUACCGAGCCUAAUGCUACAAAACAUGAUCAGAUACAUCAGAAAUGGGAGUGUUAUCCUGUGAGCAUAAAACACGGCAAGUGCAAGAGGUGACAAAGCUUACACCCCGGACAAAGCCGCUAAGCCCACGGAAACUUGGUUCCCCAAGCAAAACCCUUGUUUAAGUUUUAGAAGGUUUAAAACCUUUUCCCCCCGAGUCCUUUUGGUUUGCCAGCCGACGUUGUGGUCGUCGGACCAUCUCCCGGCCACCAACGAGCCGUUUCGAAGAAUCAUAAUACAGCCUGCAACGCUCUUCGGACAACUAGUCUCACCAUGCCCUUGAGACAUCGACACGUAGCAGAUUUGGAGAUAUAUUGGUGGGGCCCUCUUUCCCGUACAAUAAUAUCCUUCCGAUGCGCAUCGAGGGGGCCCGUCCCCUUAAGCAGGACUUAAAAACUUGGUUAGGAUCACCGUCGCUAAUUAUCCAAACGAUGAACCCAGCCGUGAAUUAGGACCGUGGAGGCGCCUCGUCGAAUAGUCCGCUCCAGUUUGGUAUCUUCGCUCAGCGGCGUAACCUUGUUGGGCGAAACCCCAAAACUCCCCUCUUCCUUCGAUCCCCACCACCUCAAUCUUUUGCCCUCUCAUUCCCCGCUAAUCCGAUUGGAAACCCUCGUUCUAGGGUUCUCUGGGAGCCUCUUCUCCGCCAGGCCCCCCUCCCCCGUUCCUCCCUGGUUCAUGCUCUAGUUCACGGAAAAGAAUGAUCUUUUCUAGGCUUGGCCAAUCUCUCUCGCGAUCCUCGCGUUCCCUAUACGAAGCCGUGAGUUUUUCUCUCAUACCUCUCUUCCAUCUCUCUCUUUCGAUCUUCUUUCGUUUUGCGUAGUUUUUAUGUUUUCGAUUCUAUAUUUAGGGCGCUUUUUUGGGCGGUUCUGUUGUGAGGUCUGGCUGUUCGAAGGAAGCCGUUCUGCAAUCACCGAGUUUUCGUGGUGGCAGUGGAGGUUUAGGGUUUCUGAGGAGUUAUUUGACUUCCAUCGGAGCGAAUAAGGCUAUUGGUGCCAAGAAGUACCAGGCAGAUUGGAGAUUCCUCCUCGCAAAUCCUAGUUUUAGACGGCUCUUUUCCAGUGAAUCACCGGACAAGAAGAGUAAGCAAGGAUUUAAGGUUUCAAUCGUUGGAAUGAUUCACUGUUUUCCCCCUCUGGUAGAUUUGUUCACUUCGAAUGUUCUGUUUCUUUAAUUGCCAGAUUAUGAGAACUACCACCCGAAGGAUAGGAAGGAAAUUCCGAAAGGAAAUGAGAACAACAAAUCGGACUCGAAAGGUAUGCGUUAUUACUAAAAGAAAAAGAAAGAGUUUUAAUCCACAAUAUGUUUCAAAACCGUUCAAAUUUUAUAAUAGAAUGUGGUAUUUGACCACGCAAAUAAUGGAACCGUAAAUAUAUAUAUAUAUAUAUAUAUAUCUUCAGUCUUCUGAGUGUUGUGUGGUUCUUAAAUGGUAUUUACAUCAAUUUGAGUCAGAUGAGUCGAUCUGUGGAUAAUAUUCUUUACAAAUGUUUGAAUCUUUAGUUUUUUAGAUAUUUUUGUCAAUGUCGAAGAUAUGUUGGUUGCUCCACUAACAAACUUAUUCCUCAGGUAUUUAGGCCCUCGCUGUCUUUUGUCUUGCUUGAAAACAAUUAUUUUAGUCAGUCUCAUGAACCAAGUCUUUUGCUGAAGUUGAGCAAAGGGGUGCGCCUGACAGCCCUGGCUUGACAAUUCACAAGGCAAUGACCAGUCGGGGGGCAAACUGGAUCAUUAUGUAUUGUUUUUCCAUAUUUUACUUUAGUCAUUGAUGUUAGAGAAGAUAAGGAUGUAUCUUAGUCUUGCUCUACUAAGUAUAUGGUAAUUUGCCUACAUUUUAGAGAAGACAUAACAUUGGUAUUGAAAGCUUGGAAAAGAAAUACUGAAUCGUGGUUUCAGAGUAUCAUAUUUUGUUGCCUCCUUGUUAGAGGGAUUGCUUUACCUGAAUUCGAAAUGAAACCAACCAAAAUUGAUAAGCUUCAAGCUCAAACUUGGAUAGUUAAAGUAAAGUGCCUUUGUGGACUCCUGGCAAGGUUUCAAGUCUUGUGGGAUGGGGAUGUCUUGGCUUCUCCAUAGGAUGGGGGUGUCUUGGCUUUCCCAUAGGAUGGGAUACCCCAGUGUCCCGUCCUAUCUUGGUCAAGCUUCCCGGCAGGAACCCCCUCUCUCUCUCUCUCUCUCUCUCUCUCUCUCUCCACUUCUUUCUGUUAUUGUUUCUUUCUUCUUUCUUUCCUUUCUUCCUUCCUUUCUUUCUUUCUUUUUAUUCUUACUUCUUUUCUAUCUUCAUUCUUUGCCUUCUUCCUUUUUCCUUCAUUUCUUUCAUUUUCUUCCCCUGCUCUUUCUUUAUUUCAUUUUCUUCCACCAUACUUUUUUUUCUUUUAUUUUUCUUCUUCUUUCCUUCUUUGUUUUUCAUUUUCUCCUUCUUCCUUUCUUUUUUUUUUACUCUUUUUUCUUUUCCAUGUGGAUGGACAUAUGAGUCUCUCCUCUAUGUUGGUCUCAUUUUCUCACAAGAAUAGGAUGGGAUUGCCAUGAUGCCCAUUGCGCCGAAAUGUAAAACAUUGGUUCUUAGUGCAUUAUAAUCUUCAUUAUGUGUUGCCUUAUGUUUGAGAUAUAUUUAGGAUAAAUAGAUGAUGAAUUUGCUAUUUGUUUAUAUAUAUUAGCUACCAAUUGAAAGGACCUAUUUGAACGUGAAAUGUUAUUUGUUGCAAUCUAGGACCUCACAUAAAGAGGCUAGCCAAAAAGCUUUAUUUGGGUUUCUUGACCUUGUGAAAGUACUUAAGAUCUACCUAAUGCAUAGUCGAUUUGGGACUAAACAUGCAAUCAUAAGGGCUCUCACAUGCUCCUCUCGUUUAUUUCAUGGCAUCUUCGCUAGGCUAAUGGUCUAAUCCAAUUAAAUCCAAUCACAAAUACCACGAUCUACCUGUAUUCAAUUUUAAAAGUAUUCAUAUUGCAGUAUCUUUUAGUCCACAUGAGCUAUAAACUGGGCCACUCUCAUACCAUUUGUAACAGCCUAAGCUCUUAUUCAAACAGAUUAGCUGGAAGGUAUUAUUUAGAUUUUUUGGUCCUGUAUAGGUACUUAAGAUCUACCUAGUGCAUAAUCAAUAUGAGACUAAACACACGUCCGUACAAGUUCUCGCAUUAUCUAAUUUAGACAAUAUGUAAAAAUCUAUGUGGCUGUGUGUUGAGUCUCAUAUCAGCUAUACAAUGGAUAGAUUUUGGAUAUUUAUACAAGAUCAAGAAUCCUAAGUAAUACAUUUUGAUGAGUCUUUUGGGUAAGAUCCUGGAUUGUGACAUGGUAUUAGAGCAAAUGCAGACUAUGGUCUAUGUAGACUAGGAGACAUUGCAACAUGGGCCCUUUGAGACUGAUAAUGGGCUGACGAUGGUAUCUAUGAUUGAAUUUAAUUGGAUUUGGACUCUUAGCCUACUGAAAAUGCCAAGGCUUAAACAGGGAGAGUAUAUGAGGACCCAUGCAGACAUAUAUUUAGUUCUAUAUCGGUUAUACAUUGGAUAGAUCUUAGGUACUUAUACAGGGUCAAAGAAUCCAAAUAGUACCUUCCAGCUAGCCAUUUUUGGUGAGGUCCUAUGUUAUUACAGUGCUUGCCCAAGAAGGAUUUAAUCUAAAAUUUUAAUUAGAACUCUGAAUCAAGUAGAGGAUGGAAGGCCAAAACACUUUCUACUAUGAGUCAGUCUUGCGCUGUGUAGAGAUAUGCAACUUAGUUCAAAAGAAUAUAAUCAAAUGGGUUAGAUCAGACUAGCGAAACCUAUAUUGGAUGGAACUUGAAACUGGAUCCAUAUCCAUUUUCUAGUUCAUUUCCAUAUGAUCAAGUUUGGGCUAAAAACCGGCUAAUUAUUUGAGUAAAAUGUGGAUCCUUCUUGACCUCUUAUUGACUAAACAUAUUUUGCAUUGUUUAGAUCCCCCACCUUUUUGACCUUAGAAUUUUUAAGCAUAUAUAUGUUGAGAAUAAAUUCAAACAUACAGGAACUUAUGGAGCUUCAAUUUUAUCAAGCUGAUGUCUUCACCAAGUAUCAAAAUAAGCAAUUUGUACAUUCCAAUGUCGAGAUGAAUGGGGAUAUUAUAGGGAAAUGAAUAGCAUCUAUUGGAUUGGAAAAUUUCUCCUUUGAUUUGUGUUCAAAUACUAUGGUCUAUUUAAGAACACCAUUAAUCUUGAUACUACAUCUACAGAUGUUCUCUUAAGAUGAUUUCUAUUAUUUACAUGUGGAUGGAACUUGAUCCACAGAAUCCUCAUUACUGUGAUUUAUGUUAUGUACAAGAAAAAAACGUGUAAUUCUUCCAAAAGUUGGACUUGUCUGCGUAUGCGCAUGUGCGUGCAAAUGUGUUUGUUAGAGAUAGAGAGAAAGAGAGAUUUUAGUUUGUUGGUGAAAUUUCUCAGUAAUAGUAAAUUUUGAUUCCACCAUUGAUCAGUAAACAGAAGUAUUAACAUAGUUGUCAUCCAUUCGUUAGCAGUUCUCCACCUUAAUGAAAUGCCUGCAAUACUUAUGCUGAGCUAUCGUUGCCAUCAUUUAGUAACAUGAUAUGUUAAAAUACUUGUAUAAUGCGAAAGGAAUUUCAGUUACAGGGUAUUUCAAUGAGGUUAGAUUUAUGUGAUAUUUCAUACUUUUUGCACCAUUUAUGUAUUGUGUUUUUGCUUGAUGUUCUGAGUGCAAUAUUUGCUGCCUUUUUUUUUUUUUUUUGCUUUUCUUUAGAGAAUUCAAAUACAGAAGAUCAGGCGAAUUUUCAGGAGAAUUUUAUGAAGCAGUUGCAGAGUUACCUUGCUCCUAUACUGUUUAUGGGACUAUUGCUUUCUUCCUUUUCCUUUGGCUCUUUUGACCAAAAAGAGGUUAGUUAUGCAUUUAUAACCAAUUAACUGCAUUUACAUCAUAUCUGUUUGUUGUCACUUCUAAAUCAUAAGUUUCCUUGAUAUUUUUAUUGAAUCACAUGCCACCAGUAGCUUGUUGCUUGUAGACAAAUAUAGCUCUGCGGAUGUCUUCAGAAGACUGAACUUGUGCAGCGAUCAUAGAUUGUGCAUUACAUAUCAAUGUAAUUUCUUGCAAAUCAUGUUUUCUAAUAUCUGAUGAUUUCAUUGUCAUUCUUUACAGAUUAGUUUCCAGGAAUUCAAGAAUAAGCUCCUGGAACCUGGUUUAGUGGAUCACAUUGUUGUGUCCAAUAAAUCAGUUGCAAAAGUGUAUGUCAGGAAUUCGCCAAAGACAAGCUAUCAAACCGGGGAGAAUGAGAUACAGGAAACCACAACAAGUUCUCCUCCUAGGCAUGCUGGUAGCCAGUAUAAGUAUUACUUCAAUAUUGGAAGUGUGGAAUCAUUUGAAGAAAAAUUGGAGGAAGCUCAGGAAGCCUUGGGGAUAGAUCCUCAUGAUUAUGUCCCUGUUAGAUAUAUUUCUGAAGUAAUUUGGUACCAAGAAUUGCUCAAAUUUGCCCCAACAGCAUUUCUUGUGGGGCUGAUUUACUUUAUGGGGCGGAAAAUACAGGGUGGAUUUGGCGUUGGUGGUGGUGCGGGUAGGGGUAGUCGUGGGAUAUUUAACAUUGGAAAAGCCCAAGUGACAAAGAUGGACAAGAAUUCAAAAAAUAAGGUCAGCAUCUUGCCUGAGUGCUAGCCCUUUCUUUCCACCUAUAGUGUUUAACUAUUAUGGCUUGAUUAAUGGAUAACAACAUUGAACUAUGAAUACUACAGAGAACUGCAUUGGAGAGCAUAGCUGUCACCAAUCAGUUCCAUUUUUCAAUGCUUUAUAGUUACACUAUAUGGUUUUAGUUAAACAGAUAAUGAUAAUUUUUUACCUGUAUGCCUGGUGCAGGUAUUCUUUAAAGAUGUAGCUGGCUGUGAUGAGGCCAAACAAGAAAUUAUGGAAUUUGUGCACUUCUUAAAAAAUCCCAAGAAGUAUGAGGAACUGGGAGCGAAAAUUCCCAAAGGUGCUCUUCUUGUAGGCCCUCCUGGCACGGGAAAAACACUUCUUGCAAAAGCAACUGCAGGAGAGUCUGGUGUACCUUUCUUGUCUAUUGCUGGUUCAGAUUUUAUGGAAAUGUUUGUCGGUGUUGGACCUUCCAGGGUGAGGAACUUGUUUGUGGAAGCCCGACAGUGUGCACCUAGCAUAAUUUUUAUUGAUGAGAUUGAUGCAAUUGGUCGGGCAAGAGGCCGUGGGGGAUUCUCAGGUGCCAAUGAUGAGCGCGAAAGUACACUAAAUCAGUUACUUGUGGAGAUGGAUGGAUUUGGAACAACCUCUGGGGUUGUUGUACUUGCUGGGACAAAUCGGCCUGACAUCUUGGAUAAGGCCUUGUUAAGGCCAGGUCGGUUUGAUCGUCAAAUUACAAUUGACAAACCUGACAUAAAAGGACGUGAUCAGAUAUUCCGUAUAUAUCUUAAGAAGAUCAAGCUGGACAAAGAUCCAUCAUAUUACUCUCAAAGGCUAGCUGCCCUUACGCCUGGUUUUGCUGGAGCUGACAUUGCCAAUGUUUGUAACGAGGCUGCUUUGAUAGCUGCAAGAAGUGAGGAAACACAAGUUACAAUGCAGCAUUUUGAAGCUGCUAUUGAUCGUAUAAUUGGUGGUUUGGAGAAGAAGAACAAGGUAACUUUACCGCAAUGUUCAUUUCAUUCCCUAUUAUAAAUGUAUGGUUGUUGAGUUGUUAUUCAUACUAUUUUUUUUUCUUAAGCUCUUUUUAAUAUUGUUAUCUUAACUCUCUUGCAUUCCCUCUUCAUUGGUGCUGCUGUUUUGACCAUGAACCUUUUCCUUUUUAGUGUUAUCAUUGAUGCUAUUAAGGUGCUCUAGUGGACAUUUUUCUCUUCUGUUUUAGAACAUUUUCAUGUUCAUCGAUCUAUAUGUUUCCUGUGAGUGACAUUGUGCUCAUGCUGUUUUUCUGGCUGCUAUGCUAAGUUAAUUGAUGAAAUUUUGUUAUUAGACAUUCAUAAACACUUCCACCUUGCUGGAUCUUUCUGCUUUCAUCCAACUCUUGUCGCAUUCUACCCUCAUUUGUCUACAUAGUUGGCUACCAAACUACCAAUACAGUUUAAGCUCUUCAAGAUGCUCAGCUAUUGUCUUAUGUGAUUAAUAAUUGAUGUUCAACAAAAUAUCUCCUCCAUUGUUACAUGCAUUGGUGGUCAUUUUUCCUAGUCUUGCUGGAUGUUCAUUAUACAUUCUUCAAAUGAUAUUGUUGAUGUUCUGUAGGAUAAUGAAAAUUCAAGAUUGUCUUUUUGAUUGGGUUUGCAAAUGCGGUGUAGAUCAUUGGAAAGAGAGGAAUAGGAAAUUUUUGUAAGAAAAAUGUCUCGUUCAUUAAACUUCUCAUAUAGACUCAUAAGAUGGACAAAUCUUUUUUUAGCUUCUAGGGUAAAGAUGCUCUAUUCAGCUUGGGAAGUGAUUAACUGGAGUUUGACUGGAGGACGUAGACUUUCUGUUUUAACAUUGAUAUCAAGUUGACACUUGCAACUGUCUGCAUGUGGUGUUCUAGAUAUAAUUAUUGAUGAAUUAAUUUUAAAAAUAAAGAUUAUCCCCUCCUACUUUCGUAGUCCAGUGACAUUUAUGUUAUUUAUAGAGAUAUGGAGGCAGAAGCUUCUUGUUCUGUUCUUGAGACAAAUAAGCCAUAGAUUAAUGCACCUCUCUGUAUUCGCUUGGAAGUAACUGCAUGAAAGUGAAGGCAUCCACUUUCCCAAAUGUUUUUUCUGAAAGUCAAGGCUUAAAAUUAGCAGUUUGGUCUUCAUUUUUUAGGACUCAAAUACAUGGAUGUGGCAACUUUCAGAAUGCCAUUUUGGUACUGCCACUCACAACCAAACGCAGACCUAAUUGCUGGGCAAUGCUAUUUCUUUGGCUCACAGUGAAAGGCCCUUAUGGGAAGUGGGACAUUGGUCAAGAUAAGGUAUGCCUUUCUUCCAUAUGCUUCGGGAGUCAAUAAUCUAGCAAACAAGGUCUGCAAUACAGGAACUGGCACUCAUGCCGGUAGGCCGGUGGCACAGCACAGUAUGGUACUGUGCUGUCCUGUCCUGGUGCAUACCAAGAAAGAAAACCAGAGGGGGAGAGGGAGGGAAAGAGAGAUGCUGAGAGAUGGAGAGAGAAGGGGCUCGGAAGUGAUCCUCUCCUCCGGUUGUCUGCACACUGGGUGGAGCUUUGUUUUGUUCGAAACAAGGCUCAACCCAUUUUUCUUUUUUAUUUUUGGCUUCUUCAAGUGAAGUUGACACAAGGUUUGUGGACUUCACUUUAAGAAGCCUAAAAUAAAAAAGGGCUGAGCCCUGUUUCAUUUGUGCGGAUGACUAGAGUAGAGGAGGGCUUCUAAGCCCCCCCUCUCUUCCUAUCCUAGCAUGCAUCCCCCCCCUCCCCCCUGGCCGCGUGUGGUCAUUGGUUCUCAUUUCGCUCGCCGGAACCAUCCUGGUACGGCUUGACAUGCCUUGAACCGGAUAAUUCGGGAUGGUUCUGCUGUCUAUGCUGGCAAACUUUCUUUUAUAUGCUUAGCUGAGGUGACAAGCAUAUCGGCUUUCUUGGUCUUCCUGGUAUUUGUACGGCAUGUCCAUAACUAUUUUAGGGAACUGCUUUCACUUUAUUUCAGGUAAGCAAGUUCUCCUGUCUUGUCAAUUUGUGGUCUAUUUUCAAGAAAGACACAUAUUCAGAAAUCAGGCAAUCCUUCUGUUUAAAAUUGUUUGUAGCAUGCACCAGGUUGUUUGUAGUAAAAGUCCAAUGUUACCAAGGUUAUAUGCUCCAUGCAUCAUGAAUAAUACCAGUAUCUAGUAUUUAACAAUACUAAACAUUCUCUGGCUAUCUUUUGGGCAUCCUUAUGAAUAGAUAGAGCUGCUACUUAGAAUGUCUUGCACUUUGUGAGGCAUGCAUACAUACAUAUGUAAAACUGACUCAAAAGCAUCUGCAAAUUUCCUGAAAAUUUUAAAGUACAAAUGUUGGGAAAAGCAUAAUUAGCUGCUGCAACUGAUAGCCAAUUAUAAGCUUGUUCUGCGCAGUUUUAGCUAUAAAUAUCAACAUUUUUGUAAUCAAAGUUCCAGACUGAAGUUGGAUCCUUGUUAUGAAUGAAAUUUUCUUGGUAACCCCUCAAAGAUUAUUAUGGUAACCAGGUGUGCUGAUGCCAUUAUCUUCUUGUUAGGUGAUCAGCAAGCUGGAACGUCGAACUGUUGCUUACCAUGAAUCAGGUCAUGCUGUUGUUGGAUGGUUCUUGGAGCAUGCAGAGCCUUUACUUAAAGUUACAAUAGUUCCACGUGGAACUGCAGCAUUGGGCUUUGCUCAGUAUGUGCCAAAUGAAAACCUCCUAUUGACCAAGGAGCAGCUUUUUGACAUGACAUGCAUGACACUAGGUGGGCGUGCAUCUGAAGAGGUAAAAAACUGUCUUCCUUUUAUUUGAUCUAUUAAAUAGUUAGUUUUCACACAGGAAGUUACNAAAAAAAAAAAAAAAAAAAAAAAAAAAAGAAGUGGAGCUUAGUUUUGUUAUAAUGAAAUUUCUGAAAGUGGAUUAUACAUCUUCUCUUUUCCCUGGUAGGGUGACAUUGCACUUGAUACCAUUAAAAAUAUUAUAACUGAAAGCUGUUUUUGGUAGUUCCUUUCAUAAUCCAUCUAUAUUGCCUAACCAAGACAUCUCAGUUAAGUGGCAUCUUUGAAUAUUAUGGUCAUACCAUGCAGGGAUUUUUUUUUCCUUUUAAAAUAUUCUUUUGCUCUUUAAUCAGGUUGUUUUAACAUUUGGAGUUUUUGUUAAAAGUUCUUAUUAAAUAUUAGGUGGGAAAUGAAUAUCAUUGUGUAUGCAUGUUAUUUCAAAUGAUGUUUGAACUAUAUUACAAGUUAUCUUCUUGUUUUUUCUUCCCUGUUAAUGGAGGCUCCAGCUUAACAAGGUUAAAGAAGGUUUGAGUUGAAUGUUCGUCUCAUGUUCUGGAAUCUGCUGUUUCCUAAAAGCAUGAUGUUGAGGUGUAUCUGCUUCUGCUUUUCCACGUCUUUUUUCAGAACCUUGAAACCCAUGCUAUUUCACCAUGUAGUAACCUGGUUGAC
rnacentral:lncRNA from 1 species